CUCUCACAAAGUGGAGAGGUCGUGGGUUCGAAACACGUCAACAGCGGAUUGUUGAUAUAAGUUUCCACACGUAAUUUAAAUGGGGUAGGGGUCCCCACAACCUCGCUUGCCAACCAAAAAAAAAAAAAAAAAAAAAAAAACUUAAAGUUCCGACGAAUUAAAGACAAUUUGUAAGUUUCGUAAAUUUAUAUAUUUAUAAAUAAGACAAUUUGUAAGAUAGAACUUCAGUUUCCGAAGGAUUUAUAAAAUAAAACUGCAAGUUCUGAAUUCAAUAAAAAUCGGAACUAUAAGUUUAGAAAAAAUAAAUUUGACGAAACUUCAAUUUCUGUUGUAUAUUAUCGACAUAUCAUUUUGGAUGAUAAUUUCUCUCUCUUUGAAAUCACAUGAUGAGUUCAGCUGCCAUUACUUGAAUCUUGACCCUCUUUAUAAAAAAAUAAAAAUUCUUGACCCACCUUCUCAUCGGAGAGGUUUUUGUUUUUUUUGUUUGGAGGGCAUUUGGCACUACUGCCUUUCCCGAAUGCCCUCCAUUGGGAUUGCUCUUAUGAUUAUUUGGAUAGUGAGUUAGUGACGUCAUCCGUAGUGACUUGUUGAAGACUCUUCCUCUUCCUAUUCCUCUUCUCUUCUCCCUCUCUUUAUUUUUUUGCAUUUUCAGUCUUUUUUUUGCCCUUCAUCUUCUCUCUCUCUCUCUCUCUCUCUCUCUAAACUCUGAAUUAGUACGAUUUUAAGCCAUUAAAGCAGCAAACAACAACUUCUAUCUCUAGCUCUAGCUCUAGCUCGUGUUCAACAAUGGUAAUUCUUUUUUUUUUUUCGCGAAAUUACCUUAAAAGUACGGUUUUAUUUUUCUCUUACAUAAGUAAUUUUCUUCAUUCCCACUCACAUUAGGGAAUUUCAUUAUAUAUAUAUACAUUUAUGUAGUUUACUUUAAAUCACCCAUAAACAAACACAAACAAACCCCGAACUUGAUCGGUUUAAUCAUGAUUGUUAUAACCCUUAUUUGCUUCCAAACCUCGCAAUUUUAUGAUACAAACAAACAUUCCGUUUACGCCACAAAUUUGUUUCUUCUGCUCUUACAGAAUGUAUAGAUUGUUAUUAGGAAUUUUGGGGGUUAGAUUUAUUUACAAGAUAAUAAUCUUAAGUAACUGAGAUGUUUUGAGUUCUUUUUAUGAAUGUAGGUAAUAAUAGGAAAGUGAGUAAAUGUACUAGUUGUAUUACCAUAUAUGUAGUACUCGAAAAUAAUGUUUUUUUUUUUCGCAAUCCACAUGGUGAUGUAUAUGUGCAUUUUUAAUGGAAGCCUGCAUUGAGAGUACUUAUGUAUGUUGAUACAGGUUUUGACUAAAUGUUCUAUCUCAACUUUUAACAAAAGAGUGAAGACACUAUCUGCAGACCAAAGAAAUGAAAUUAAGAGAAUGGGUUUUGGUUAUAUACUUGAAAUGCAUACUCAAAUUUUGAGCAAAAAUCUUUUAUUUGAGUUGAUGGAUAGAUGGAAUUGUACGAAGAAACAAUUUGAAUUUCCCCCAGGAAACAUUACAAUCACCUUGAUGGAUGUUGCGCUCAUCCUAGGACUUCGAGUGACUGGUGAGCCUGUUGUUUUAAAACAAGACUCACCGAUCUCAGUUUUGGAAAAAGAGUAUGGUGCCACCAUAAAAAAAAGGAGUAUCAAGGUAGCUUCACUCGAGAAGAGAUUAGAGUCUCUUAAAAAGGUUGCAACUGAAGAUUUUGUUAGAAGUUUUCUGUUAUUUACUUUUGGGGUAUUUCUUUUUCCAAAUGAUAAUGGAACAAUAGAUUCUCGUUAUCUUUCUUUGAUGGAGGACUUGGACCGGGUACCCCAAUUUUCAUGGGGAAGUGCUGUCCUUGAAGACUUGUUCAAUUGGUUCUAUAAGUUUAAAAAUGACAAAAAGUUGACGUACAUGGGAAGCUGUCUCAUAUUUCUCCAGGUAAGGAUUCACAACCAUUGCUUUGAUACACAUCUAUUAGAUAGUUAUAGAUACUAUAGUGAUUCAUUUGAUGCUUUCGUUUCAGCUAUGGUCUUAUGAACAUAUUGAUGUUGCUCGUCCAAGUUCACUUAAGUGCAAUUUGGUAUUUCCACGUUCCUAUAAGUGGAAAAAUAGUAGCUGUAGGCAAAGGGAAUGGUUCACACCAAAAUUCAACGAACUGCAAGGAAAUCAGGUAUUUAGAUUUUUUUUGGUUGGAAUCAGGUAUUUAGAUUUUUUUUGGUUGGAAUCAGGUAUUUAGAUUGCCAUUACUUGUGCAUCUCAAUUGAUAUAAGUCAAAAGUGCCGUUGACCAUCUAACCCGCUCCAGUGUGACUUAUGGCUUGAGACAAAACGAUCGUUUAGAGGGGUCAAUUUUUAAAUGUCUGAAAGUGUGUGGGCUUUCCCUUUGUGACCGAGUUGAUCAUGGGUUCACUUCCACAUUACCUCACCUGCAGGCUUGUGAGACUAUAUAUUUGUCUUGAUUCUAAAUGCAAGACAACAAGAACAGAAUUCUGUUGGCAUUUACAUCCAGAUAAUAUAUCGGCGUACAUAUUACAUUGUAACAACUUUUGAGUGAAUAAUCUCUGGUUUUACAGAUUAUUAAUGUUAUAACUAUUAAAUGUUUUUUUUUGGCUCAGUUAGUUAUCCUUGAGCUAGUACGCAAUUUUUAAGGUCAACAUAGUAAAUAUACUUGUUUUGUUUCAGAUAGUUUGGAAGCUAGAACCAACUCCCGAAGAAGCUAAAAUAGAUAUCAUCAAAAAUUUGUUGGAAAUGCAAAAUGUGGCGUUGGAGAUUUCGUCAACAUCACAGUACUCUACGAGCAACAAAGAUGAUAUGGUUUGUUGUUUGUUUGCUUGCUUGCUUAAUUCAUGUUUCUCACAGUUGCAUUUGUCCCUUAAUACAAAACCAAAUAUGUUCAUACAGGAUGGAAGCAUUAGAGAUGAAGCUUUCAGAUUAGACAAGCAGCUGAUAGAGUUGGAUGUUUCUGAAACUGAUACAAUUGAAGAUUCUGUAGAGGUGCAAGAAGACAAUUUGGAGCUUCCAUCUACACCACACUAUUCUUGUACAAAUGAUACUGCUGGACAUGUGAUGAUAUUUGUUCCUUCCUCAUGUUCUAUACUUGUUUACAUUCCAGAUCCAAUACUGUUGACAUUUAACAUAAGUUGUUAAUGCAGGAGGAUUGUGUGAGAACUAAGAAACUGUUAGAAGAGCAGAUCGCAAAAUUAAACAAGAAGAUUGACAAGAUGAAAUUAAAGAAGGAGUGUGUGUUAGAAGACCAAGUUGUAAAGUUAAACAUGGAGAUUGAUGAGUUGAGAAUCGAAAAUACUACGUUGAAAAACCAGAUUUUGUCUUCGAAUAAAUUGUUUGAUCGUAUGGAAGAGAUUGUGAUUGAGGGUACGACGAGCGGAACUUUGAGUAAUGUUCUUAUCCUGAACGAAGGUACAGGAGUUAUUCAGUUAUUGAAAAUAUGUUCUCUACAUUUUGGUCCCCUUGUCACUGAUUGUGAGUUUCUUAGUACUAAUUUGGUUUCUUGCAAUAUUAUAUGCUUCACAUUAUCGAGUUUGCAAUUUUGGGGAAUUUGUCACAUUUUAUCAGCAUCGUACAACUCAUGUGGUGUAUGGUGCAGACCUUAUCCAAGUACAUGUGUUAAAAUUAAAAUAGAGUGGGUAUCAGAUGAUAUAGCCCUGUAUUUGCACGUACACCAAAACUAGUCACUCUUUGAUUGGGUUUUUCUCUUUUCUAUUGGUUGAAAUGUCAUAAUACUUAGUGUUAUUUGUUUGAUUGUAUGUUUGAAAGACAUGCGUUUGAUUGUAUGUUUUAAGGACAUGCAAUUGAUGCCAUGUUUUUCUAAAAGCCGCAGUUUCACUUUUUUUUUUUGAAAAAAUUAGGGGGGAUUUACACAGAGUUUCACUUCUUUGUAUCCUAAUGUAUUUAUCUUCUCAAGAUUGCUGUUGAUCGAUAACUGCAAAGGCAUGCCCUUAUAUUAUAUCACCUGUCUAUCCCCUGAAAGACUUGUGUUUUGUGGUUUCCUGAAGAACGAUGGCUGUACGAAUCGUUCAACCCUGUCUCAAAUUAUUUUGGGCAAGAACGAUGACUUGUGUUUUGUGAUUCAAAAGUUCUACCACAAUGUCUAAAUGAUUUCUCGUGGCAAGGAUGCACAUAUGUGAAUGAUUGAUAGUAAAAUGUUUUGAAGACUAUGCAUCAUUCUCUCUGACAAUUCAAAAUUUCUUGCCCAAAUAAUUUGAGAGACCUCUGUUACCGUUUUUGGCCUGUUUACUAAAGAGACCUCUGUUACCAUUUUGCCUGUCAUAGCUGCAGAUGAGUACCUUGAGGAUCAGAACCGUGCAACUCCCUUUUGCAAGUCAAUUUGAAAUGCUAGUCAGCAUGUUUGUUCUGCUCCUUUUAUGUUGGAGAGGUAAUACUUCAUUCUUUGUUCUAAACAUAUGAAGAUCCAACCAUAUUAUUUCCUCUUCUGACUAGUAUCGGUUUUAUUUUCUUCAUAAAGCUGCAUAUACAUUUGUAUUUCUUGAAUGGAUUAUGUCGAGGGUUCAACUAUUGAGAUUUGUUAUAACUUCUGUUGUUUUUCUUGUCACAGUGUUUCCCGACUUACUCCAGUUUUGAAUUAAGCAUACAAUAAGAUGCAAGAAGUCCUGGAAAAUAUGAUUGCGAUUGUGCAUAUGUGAUUUAAAUUAAGGGAUCAACGGUCCUUCACAAUUCAGGUAAAUUAGGCUUAGGAAAAAGUAUUAUGUAGACUUCAAGAAAUUUAAAGUCUAUUUGUGCAAAAAUAAUAAUGAUAAAUAACCCAAUUAUAUCCAAUUUAAAAUUGAUUAAAUAUAAUUGUUCCAUGCGAAGCACGUAAUUAAGGUAUUGGGAUGCUGAAUUAGUGGAGACAUUGUUUCACAGGAAGCAUGUUAAACUUAAUAGUGCGCUCGACAGUUCAAAUGUGGUUAGAGUGAAUUCAUGAAUCAAAACUCUAUCCUUUUUGCUACUACAAUUUAUUCUCCCUUUACUCCCUUUCUAUAGAACACUACUACACAAAUCCAAUACGCAGACCUUGAGAAUUUCAUCCCGCCUUAUGUAUCCAAUCAUGUUCACCAGUCUUCAACUCACCGGAUCCUGCAACCAAUUCAGAAAGUAUAUCGUUUGUGAUUAAUAACACUAACAAGCAUGACAUGUUUUCUAUAUUCUUUCUGUUAAGUGAUGCAUGCUGAGAACUCUAUAAAAUUAACUGAACCGUCAUUAUUGGAAUCUAACAGCUUUAAAGAGAACUGAAAUGAUGUAUGGACAGGUGGGACUCACAUUGAACAAUCAAUGUCAGGCGAAAUCUCGAAGAGGAGAGAAACUCCGCACUCUUCAGCAAUCGAGUUAACUAGAUUGUAUUGAAUCCCUGGAACCAGUGGUGUGAAACUCUUGAUACAUGUGCAAGCUUGUUGGCGAUCAGGGGUGGAUGUGGCCAUGGCCAUGACCAUUCUGGCACCGUUGCAGCACUGUUGUGGCACAGUCAUUCCGCCAUUACGAGCAUAACCAAUGCAUGGCACCAAAUUUCUAAUGACUGAACCACAGGAGACGUAUCCCUCUGAUUGUUGAGGGAGCAACACCAACCAAAUGAGCAGGAGACACAUGAAUGCAAGAGCCUUAGCUGUGCCCAUGUUUGAUGCAAGCAUUACUUGAAGGCAAGUUAAGUUUUGAGUUCCUAACUCCUGAUCUUUAUGAAUGAAUAUAUACUGAUAGGAAAUGCAAUCCAGCUUUUACCAAAAAAAAAAAAUGCAAUCCAGCUACUUUCAAGCUUGUUAGAACAGUUUGUUUGGUAUUUCACGAGAAACAUAUCAUCUAGCUACGCUUGUUCAUCUUUCCAUGAAACAUAUAUAACUGCACUGAUAAAAUUAUAUAACCAUCAUGCAGAGCUCAUGCUGUCUCAAAACUUACCCUAUUAUAUGUUGUUGGAAUCAGUUGGUCCCUGGAUCAGGAACUCAGGAAGUCUUAUUUUGGUGGUCUUAACUUCCCACUGUACUACAGUUAAAUGACCUUAGUUACAUGUAUAUGCAAUUACCUUAGUUAAAUGACAUUUAUGCCUCUCAACUUCCAAGUACACUGACAUUUCUUCAUCAACAUGUAGUGUAUUCUUCAUCAACAUGUAGUGUAUCUCAUCAAUUGAUACUGGUACUUCAAUUAUUUGUUUUUGGUUUUCAUAAUCUUUUAAAUAUAUAUAUAUAUUUUUUUUUUGCUAAGUUAUAUUAAAUAGAAAGAGAAACUGAGUACAAAACAAAAGGUGAGAGAUAAUAAAUCUACCCCUCACCAAAAACCAGCAUACAAGAAAACUAUUCUAAACUAGACUUAAGAGCACUAGGCUCAUAGUCAGACUGUUUCUUCUUCACUUUGCUAGUGGGUGACUUUUUACCAUCUUUUCUCUUUAGAACAGAUUGCCUGUUCUCUUCCAAUGCUGCAAGUCUGGCUUUGAUUGCCAAAGCUUCUUGCACAACAAUGUCAGCAUCAUAAUUGGUUCACUGUCCAAAACCAGUAGUGCAUAAAGCCAAUGGCUGACUAUGGCUCCUAACAGAAUACUGAAUGUCAAUUCUCGGAUCCACCACUGCAAAGCCCACAGGUUCCAAUGGCUGCAAGGUAUCAUCCUCAACAUCAUUUCCCCAUCUUCCUAUGAUUCUUUCUUCUUUAGAAAUCAAUAGUUCUUGAUCAGGAGUUUUUCGCACCAAGUCUAGUUCUCCUUCUAGAGCUGUGAUAGAAUUGGGAUUAGCUAAACUGUUGUCUGGAGUGCCAACAUUUAUAGGGCUUGCGUUCCUAGGACUAGCUGAAUUAUGAACAAGAGUUCCUGGAGAUGACUCUAACUCACGCUCUAGAGCCUUGAAAGAAUUGGUUAAGGCUAAAUGGUUACCUGGAGUUGUAACAUUAGUAGGACUAACAUUCCGUUGUGUUCUUUGUGCAGCUGGGACAUUAAUGUGAAAACUUCUUUCUUGUUGUAGCUCAUUUGUAGAACUUGUAUCUUCCUUUGUUAUCAACUGUUGGUUAGCUUGAUUGGGAGUAGAUUCUUUUGUACCACUUGUACUUGCUCCAUUUUUGUUUACUUGUUCAAAGUUCUUUUGUUGUGUUGUCAAAGUUGCAGCAACAACUUCUUCUCUUUGUGAUCCAUUCUUGUUUCUUUUCAUCCUCCAAGGCUCUUGAUAGGUGUUCCUACGAGAUAAGGAAUCCUCCUUCCCUAUUUCUUUCCGCAACCCCUUACAUUCACUUUUUGAAUGACCAAUGGCUUGACAGUGAGGACAAAAUUUUGGCAACACUGGAUACACCACAUCUUGAAGGAACUCCUUACCAUCAUCUACUUCCACCAAGAUUUGAUUUGGUAGAGGUUUGGAUAAGUACAAAUCAAUCAACACAUUGGCAUAGUAGCCAAAUUCCCGUUCCACAGUGAAUUUGUCGACCCCAAUUGGGCAUCCAACUCCUUUAGCUAUGGACAUAAUACACUCAUACUCUCAGUAUUGUUGCCCUAAUUUUGGAAACCUUACCCAAGCUAGAGCUUUUGUAGUUCUUUGAACUUCCGGAUCAAAAUCUGGAGUCCAUUUUGUGAGUCUUAAGACUUGAUCAUUGAAUUUCCAAGACCCACCCAUCCAUAUUCUCAUCAAAUCCUCCUUAUUUGCAAAUCUGACCAUGAAAAAACCUUUCCCGAGAGGAAUGAUUUUCCAUACUCCUUCAAAUCAUCAAAUGUAGUCUGAAUAUUUGUUGUAUUUACUAUUUAUAUUGGUUGGUUUUAUAUGCCGAACUCAAUACUGAUAUAUCCUCUUCACACUAUCACACAAAACUUGUGGAGAUGUUUCUAAAGUUUUAUCAGGAUAUGUUUUCCUCUUCGGCUGUUCUAUAGAUUAGUCAAUGUGUUGUUUUCGGUACAUUUGGGCUUUCAAUAAUGUCGACUAACCAAAACUAAAGGGACUUUCACAUGACCAUCAAUACAUGUGGACCUUGUUGUUUCUCUCUUAGUGAUUAGCAUACUGUAUAUGCAUCUCAAAUUAUCAAAAGAGACUAUUCUACAGGUUCAAUGGGCUAUGCUCCAUUAUAUUACCUAAAACCACUCUUAAAACACCCACCCUCCCAGUAGAUGGGAUCAUUUUGUUUGUGCUGCUUUCUCUAUGAACUUGAGUGCCCUGUAUGGUUUAGUGAGCACCUCCCUCACUAAGCUGGACCACCAUCUUAUUCACAUAGGAUCAUUUGGUGACAACCUUCUUCUCUGAUUUAUAUUCGAUUUCAAUUAGUAAUGGGUUUAUUGAAAAAGAAAUUAGCAAAGGGUUGAUGUCCUGCAAUUGAACUUUUUUUUUUGCUUGGUCCUGCAAUUGAACCGAUUUUUAAGCUUUACUACCCUAGUACCCUUAACAAAUAACCUCAGUCUCGGCCGUAAAAAUAAGAUAAUUUCUGUGAAAUUGAAGAAGAUAAAACAUAAUAAUAGAUAUUGAUUAUUCAUAAAAACCCAAGGUUACAUAAACAGAGUGAACAUUAAUAAUUUCUAUCCAUGAUCACCACCUAAACUGGGACACAGUCGUCGGUUUUAUUUACUAAUGUUGUGCCCAGACCAGUACAUAGAAAAUCUCUUUGUGGCUUCCGAAUCUUAACGCACCCUGUAACAUGUAGUCAAAUAGUUAGAGCCAACAUAUAUAAUCAGAAAUCAAUCUUUUUAAUACAUGUCUUACCAUCUUAAAUUUUGUGGUAUAUAUAAAACAUAAUUUUAGGUUUUGACAUGCAAAAUCUUCCAACAGUUGUACUGUGGUAGAAAUUAAUAAAUGACUUGUAGCAUACUAAAACUUUCUAUGCAGUGGGGUGGUGCUAUAUAGAAGAGUUAGAGAGAGAGAGACAUACUUAGAGCAAUCAGUUGAAGGACUGAUUGGGUAUGGAAUGGAGACUCCACAUUUGUUAGGCAGAGAACUAACAAGCCCUUGAUUGAGUCCUUUGAUGGAGCUGGCAGUUGUCUUCAAGCAUCUGCAUGCAGUCUGGCGGUCUGGUGUGCUUGUAGCAGCAGCAUUAAUGGUCCUGACCCCGGUGCAACAGGCCGGAGGAACUGCCCCUCCAGUGCCACGGAGGUAGUUAACACAAGGAGCCACCUUGCUUGCUACAAAUCCACAUGUAAUGGUGGCUUCUGCACAAGAUGCACUCAUCACCAGCAUGCAUGCAACCAGAACACAUGUGAGCUUAAACAUCAUUGAACUUGCCAUGGUUACAAAAUAUGUUUGGAAGCAAGAUGAAUAUGCUUAAUUCUCUGUGAUAGAUUGUGUGAUUCUGAAAGCUAUGAGAAAUGGUGUUUAUAUAGAUAUCAUGAAUGGUGUAAAUGUGGUUUAGGUACAUAGCUAGGUGGACAAUUAUCGUGUCGUGUAUUGUUGUUAGUUGAAGUUAUUGAUGUAAGAGUGUCUAAUUAUCUUAAUUAUUGUACCUUCUUUCUAAUCUUAACAAAAACUUUUUCUUGUUUCUCCGUACUUUCGAGCGGCACUCAUUAUUGAAGCCGGUUUGAAAUGACUCCCAGGCUUUUUUGAUGUGUAAUAUUGUCUAUGAUUUCAACAUUUCAACAAGAAGUUCACAAUCUGUUUUAUGAAUGAAUGGUUGAGUAACAUGUCUGGAUAGAAAUUGCUGUCAUUGCGGAUGUUAUCUGAGGUUGAAUGGUAGAGAAUGCAGACAGAACUCACAAUGCCGGAGCUCCAACCUUCAAUAGCCGGUUUAUUUAUGUUAGAUGAACUGUGGGUUAUGACUUUCUAAUUAAGUGUUGUUAAUUUCAAACUCUGCAAUGAAAGAAGAUAAGUACCUUUCUUAAUAACUGUUGUUAAUUAUCUAUCUAAUCUUUUUUGCUUUGUUAAAAAUUGAACAUUAACAAAACUUUAAUGAGCUUCGGCAUCUUAUACACACAGGGUCAUUUGGUGCCAACCAUCUUCUAUCAUUUAGAUAUAGUAUCUGAUAUCAAUUACUUAAGCUACUGUUGUGUUCUGCCAUUGCACUGAAUUCAUGGUCUCAGACUCAGCGUAAUAGUAAGAAUUUUGCUGUGAAAUUCCAAGAAGAUGGGAUCAUAAUUGUAAAUAUUGAUGUAUCAUUAAAACAACAGGCUAGAUAAAAUGCGAAAACUUAAUGAUCGGAGACACACGACAUUCCUCUAAUCAGCACCUAAACUGAGAUAUAGACGUCCUUUUUAUUUACCUGUGUUAUCUCCGGUGCGUAGAAAUAAUGUUUGUCCCUUCUGAACCUUACCUCACCCUGCAACAAAUAUUUAAAACAAAAAUGUAAUUAGGAAACUUUUUGAUACCUGCCUUUAACUAUUGAAAUCAAGUGGAAAUCCUAGAACAAAAUUUCACACUUCUGACACUAGAAAACUUCAAUCCAUAUUGUGGAUUUGGUAAUUUGCGGAAUUUGACUGCAUUUAGUACUCUGGUAGAAAUUGUUAAAUGAGUCAUAGAAAAUGCUACAUCUUGAAGUUUAAAUUCAACUUGGUAGGGAUCAAGGUGCUAUAAAGAGUUAGAGAGAAACGUACUUAGAGCAAUCGGUGGAAGGACUGAGAGUGAAUGGAAUGUGGACUCGACAUUUGUUAGGUAUAGAUGCGAUAAGCUUGAUAUUGAGUCCAUUGACUCCUUUAGCAGCUUGCGUCAAGCAACUGCACGCAGUCUUGCGGUCUGGUGUGCUUUUAGCUGCAGCAUUAAGGGACUUGAUCCCAGCGCAACAAGGAGAAGGAACCGGCCCUCCAGAACCACUGAUGUAGUUUAAGCAAGGGAACAACUUGCUGAAUACAAAGUCACAUGUCAUGGCUUCUGCAGAAGGUGCACUCACCACCAAAGUGCAGGCAACCAACACACAUGUCAGCUUAAAGAUCACUUUACUUUCCAUGGCUAUAACUUACCAAGUACUACACCUUGAAACUAUGCCAAAUGCUUAAUUAUCUAUACUGGACAGGUGAGUGAUGCUGCCGAAAGUUGUCAGAAGUGGUGUUUAUAUAGAGAAUGAGUAGUACCAUUCAUGUCAAGUGGACAAUUACCAGUCCAAAUAUUAUGCAAAUUUUUGUUAUCGUGCUAGUUCGAAUUUGGUCCCACACUUUUUUGAUGUGCAAACCGAAAUGUAGUUUAGUGUCGAUUUGGUAUAGUAUUGAUGUUAGUUACGUUCAGAACAUUUCCAUAUAUUCCAUAGAUAUAAAAUGCUCCAAACUCCAAAGUAAUGUGUAAUUAUACCCAAUCCGCUGGUUAGCCAAAUGUGGAGUUAUUAUGCAGACAUAUAUACAUCGGGAUAAGUCAUUGACACUUUUGUUUUCUUUACGCAAAUCUUUGGAGUAAGAGCUUCUCUGAAGAUGGGUGACAAUUGGACGUAACGUACGGGAUCCGUGCAAGCAGGUUUUGAUCAUCUUUUGGUUUCGGCUUAAAAUGUAGACAAGAGUAGCAGCUUCAUGUACGUAGCAGAGAAGCUGUGUAUAAGUGUAUUUACUAAUUGACAUACCUCUUCUGGGCUUGUGUGGGUUGUGAUUUGUGUGCGCGUCAAAGGAGACAGUUGCAGGGAGAUCAGCAAGGCCUUAUUCAUUAAUAUUGUCUUGAUACUGAAGUCCUUUUGAGUCGGAAGCUUGAUUCCAAUAAGUACAAGUGUACAAACUUAUUUUCGAAAAAAAAAAAUGUCCAUGAAGCUGGGGACUCAUUUUCAAACUUAGCAAAUGGCAAGGAGCUAAUUGGAGGUGCCAACAAUUUCCAAACAUAUGCAUGUGGAUAACACACAGCUGACUGGUAGGUUUGCUUCUACAGUUAGAUCAAACUAUCUGAUCUGUUGCCCUGGACUAAUGGUUGUAAAGGAUCCCUGCUGCUUGUAAUUUUCAUCAACUAGGUAUGGUACUCCUUUUUUUUUGUCCGUGAGCAGUGUUUGUGCUGCUUGGUCUAUGUAAUUGAGUGCCCUAUGUGGUAUAUAUAGUGAGCAUCACCUCCCUCACUGCUUGUAAAAAUAAAGCUUAAACUUAUCCAAAAAUAAAAAGAAGUAUGUUCUAUUAUAUAUACACAAGCUAAGGGUUGAUCUCCUGCAAUUAAUUUCUGUGAAAUGAUUUUAUAGCUUUACACAUAAUAAUAACCUCUCAGUCACGGACGUAAUAAUAAGAUAAUUUCUGUGAAAUUGUAGAAGAUAGAACAUAAUAGAUUAUUCAUAAAAACACAAGGUUCUACAGACAGACACUAAAUAUAUAUUCGGGAGGCUCACGAUUCUCCCAUUGUCGCCACCUAAACUGGGACACAGCAGACAUCUGUUUGUGGCUUCUUAAUCUUACUGCACCCUGCAACAUAUAGUGAAAACCAAAAUGUAAUUAGAAAUCAAUAAAAAGUUUUAGCGACUCAAAUUUAGUGGUAAAUAUAAAACAUAAGUUUGAAUUUAGACAAGCAAAAUCUUCCAACAUUUGUACUGUCGUAGAAAUUAAUAAAUGACUCGUAGCAUGGUAAUACUUUCUAUGCAGUGGGGAGGUGUUAUAAAGAAGAUUUAGAGAGAUCGAGACAUACUUAGAGCAAUCAGUCGAAGGACUGAUUGGGUAUGGAAUGGAGACUCCACAUUUGUUAGGCAGAGAUCCAACAAGCAUUUGAUUGAGUCCUUUGAUGGAACUGGCAGUUGUCUUCAAGCAUCCGCAUGCAGUCUGGACUCUGGCGGUCUGGUGUGCUUGUAGCUGCAGCAUUAAGGUAUUUGACCCCGGCCGAUGCAACAGGCUGGAGGAACUGCCCCCUCCAGUACCACGGAGGUAGUUAACGCAAGGAGCCACCUUGCUCGCUACAAAUCCACCUGUAAUGGUGGCUUCUGUACAAGGUGCACUCACCAACACCAUGCAUGCAAACAAAACACGUGAGCUUAAAUACCAUUGAGCUUGCCAUGGUUACAAAGUAUGUUCGAAAACAAGAUCAAUAUGCUUGAUUCUCUGUAAUGGGUUGAGUGAUUCUGAUCGAAAGCUGUCAGAAGGGUGUUUAUAUAGAGAUCAUAAUGGUGUAAUGUGGUUUAGCCGUUUAGGUACAUAAGCUAGGUGGCAAUUAUCGUGCCAUGUAUUGUUGUUAGUUGAAGUUAUUAAUGUAAGAGUGCCUAAUUAAUUAUGUUAAUUAUAGAACCAUAUUUCUUUUCGACGUACUUUCAAGUGGCACUCAGCUCAUUAUUGAAGCUGGUUUGAAAUUUGUCCCACGCUUUUUUGAUGUGCAAUAUUACAUACUCCUGUAUAAGUUCACAACCAGCUUUAUGAACGAAUGGUUAUGCAUUUCAUAUGUGGAUAGGAAUCGAUCAAUGCAUAUGGAAUGUUAUCCGAGGUUAAAUGGUAGGGAAUGCAGAAAGAACUCACCAUCCAAGCUUCACUUGCCGGCUAGUGUAUAUGUUAGAUUGUUAAGCUCCUUAGGAAACUGUAGGUAUAAUUUCAACAAGGAGCAUGACUUUGCAGAUUAUGGUUCACUAACUGAUCUAAUAAAUCUUAGUGAAUGAGCAAAUAUAAUCCAAGCAUCUUGUAGGUAUAAAUGGGAUUUCAACUUCUUGGGUCAUGGCACCAACCCACCAAGGACUCAAUCUCGAACUCUGCAAUUGAGUAGAGAUACCUUAUUAAGUCUUGUUGAUUAUCACUCUAUCUUCUAUAAUUUCAAUAUUUGAUUUCAAUUAGUUAAAGGUUGGUGCCUGCAGUUGCACUGAUUCAUGGCCUGAUCAGUAAUUAUAAUAGUAAGAAUUUUGCUGUGAAAUUUGAAGAAGAUGCAUCAUAAUAAUAGAUUGAUGUAUCAUAAAAACCCCAAGUUACAUAAACAUGCGAAAUCUUAAUAAUCGGGAGACUCACAAUUUUCCCCUAAUCGCCACCUAAACUGAGACAUCUGUCUCACUCCAGAACGUAGAGAAUUUUUUUUAUGCCUGAUCUGAACUUGUCACCCUGCAGCAGUAAUGUAAUUAGAAAAAAACUAUAUUUAUACAUGCCUUCAACAUUUCAAAUCUGUGGAAAUUAUGUUAUAGAAUUUCUCGGUCCUGACAGAUUUUGUGGAAUUUUACCAUAUUUUUGUACUCCAGUAAAAAUUGUAAAAUGAGUCAUAGAAAAAGCUAAUGCUAAAAGUUUGUUCGUGAUAGGGAUCAAGGUACUAUAAAGAGUUAGAGAGGGACAUACUUAGAGCAAUCGGUGUAAGGACUGAGAGUGAACGGAAUGUGAACUCGACAUUUGUCAGGUAUAGACUCAAUAAGCUUGAUAUUGAGUCCAUUGACUCCUUUAGCAGCUUGCGUCAAGCAUCUGCAUGCAGUCUGGCGGUCUGGUGUGCUUUUUGCUGAAGCCUUAAGGAUCUUGAUCCCAAGGCAACAAAGAAAAGGAACCUUCCCUCCAGUACCACGGAUGUAGUUUAAGCAAGGGGACAACAUGCUGUAUACAGAGUCACAUUUCAUGGCCUCUGCAUAAGACGCACUAACCACCAACAUCCAGGCAACCAACACACAUGUGAGCUUAUUAUUAAUCACUGAACGUGCCAUCGUUAAAACUUACAAGGUAGCUAGUACUACUGGACUCAUGAGUGAUGCCGAAAGCUAUCAGAAAUGGUCAUUAUAUAGAGAAUUAAUGAAUAGUACCAUUCAUGUAAAAUAGUGUUAUCGUGCCACUUUGGAUUUUGUCCCACUCUUUUUAUAUGUGCAAACCGAAAUUUAGUUUAGUGUCGUUUUGGUAGUACUACUGCUCAUAAUUACGUUCAGGACAUGUAUUUAUCUUCCACAGUUAUAACAUGCUCCAAAGCGAUCAAAUACUUAUUAAAUGUUGUUGUCUAUCAUGCAUGUUUGGUUUUCUUCGCAAAAACUUGAUGAGCUUCACCAUUGUUGUGUGCAGUGGAAGCACACACUUAAAUUGGAGGAGUGUGAUACUGCAUGAAACAAAACAAAUAAUACUGAAAAGAUGAAAGUUACACAACAAUCACACACAAGAUAUACGUGGUUCGGCUUGAUUGCCUACGUCCACGGGUAGAAAUGAGGUUGCUUUUCUUAUGAACAAAGACCUCUUGAAGACACCAAUUUGGUUUUCUCCUUCACAAGGUUAUCUCAAACGCCCUCAAUUUGCCUCCAAAAAGAUUUCUCCAAACUCAUGUUUUUCUCUUUACCAAGGUUUUCCAUCUCACUACUCAUAGGCUCUAUAUGAUAGCCUUACAUUAUAAACUAGUUAUCUCCGAGAUGGACCCAAGUUCAGGCCUGCUAUUGCUGCUACUAAUGUUGCAACCACUUCUCUCUGAGAUGGACCCAGAUUUGGGCCUGCUAUUGCUGCUACUAAUGUUGCAACCACUUCUCUCUGAGAUGGACCCAGAUUUGGGCCUGCUAUUGCUGCUACCACAGCUGCUGCUAUUGAUGCAACCACUGAUGCUGCCAAUGUUGCCGAUGCCGCAGAUGAUGAUGUUUAUGAUGAUGAUGCUAAUGUUCCUAAUACUGAUGUUGAUGGUUAUGGUGAUGGGGAUGGUUAUUCUGAUGCUAGUGCUGGUAAUAUUGCUACUACUGAUGCUCAUACUGAUGCUGAUGCUGAUGACGAUGCCGAUGAUGAUGGUGAUGCUAUGGCUCCUAGUGUGGAUGCUACUGCUGUUGUCCCAGCAGAAGUUAGUGUCCACUAAAGAAUGCUUAUAGCACUCCAAUUCACAUAGAAAAACCAACAAUCAUCUCAGUCAUAUAGGGUCAUUUAGUGACAACCUAUCUUCUCCAUUUGUAUAUCCUUCAACUAAAUUUAUCGCCUUAGUCGUCUCAGGUGUACGUAAUAGUAAGAAAAUUAGAGUGAAAUUCACAGAAGAUAGAACAUAUAAUAAAACAGUAGAUAUUCAUAUUUCAUACAACCACUAGACUACAAAAUAUAAAUUAAAUGAUCAAGGACUUGUUUCCAAACUUUUCUUAUCAAAUUUACAAAACUUCAUCACAACCCAACUGCAUUGCUAGAAUUUUGAUAAUAAGUUGAUUAAUUAACAUCUAAUUCUAGAUGUUAAGUCCCAUUAAUUUUAUGUUUGAUUUUGGCAGAAAACUGUCUAUGUUAACAUGGGUUUUGUACCAUAUGGUUUCCAUAUUUUAAGUUUCAAUUGGUAUCAAACCAAAGUACAAACUCAAAUCUAGUAGUUAUCCAUUGAUCAUCUUAGAUAUUGCAUCAACUUACUGAGUUUCAUCAUUUUAUACAACAUUAAUUCAAUCUCCUGCAAACAAACUGAAUUAUAUAUCGUGUCAUUUUGCUGUGCUGCGAAAUUUAAAGAAGAUCCAACAUAAUUUAGUAUAGAUAUUAAUAUUUCAUAAAAAUAGAUGGUUACAUAGAAAAUAGAAAACUAAAUGAUCGAUCGGAGACUCAUGACUUUCUCCUAAUCACCACCUAAAAUGUCCAUUUUAUUUAUUGAUGUUAUAUCGUAGAAAAUGUGUUUGUGCCUUCUGAAGCUUACCUCACCCUGCAACAAAUAAUAAAAAAGAAUUAGAAACAAUUUCAUACAUAUCUGAACAUUUCAAGUCUAGCACUGGAAAUCGUGCAUAGGACAGAACUACUCAAUACAUUCCAACAAUAUUGUGGAUGUAUUGCGGAAUUUUGGUGCGUGUCAUGUAGUAUAUAUGCAUGAUAGAAACAGUUGUUAAUGAGUCAUGUAUAACAACUUUAUAUGGGGGGGGGUUCUCUCAUGUAAUUCUUAGGUGAGUUAGCCUUCAGGCCUGAUUCGAGAUUAGAAGGCCCAUGCUCUUAUGAUGAUGAUAUGUGGUUACGUGUUCUCCCAUGAUGAUGAUGUGAUUAGGUGUUCUUCAACCAAAGUAAGUCCCUGAGUAGCAGAACUGCUCGAGUUGCAAAGUGGCGGUGUGGACACUUAGGUGAUAGCAUCAGUAGCCUUCGGGCCUUGUCCUUGUAAACCUUCGGGCCAUGAUUAAUAUGUUUUUUCACAUUACAUGUGUUGGUUUGAAUUUUGUUGUCCAAUUGAUGUGCAAUACGGUUUCCUAUGGUUUCUACUUUCUACAAUUCAAUAAAGAUGUCCACAAGAAACCUGCUGUUUAAAAAUGAAUGAAUGGUGUGACAUACUAUGCGGAUAUAAAUUGUUGUCAAAGAGGAAUGUUGAUUAUGCAGGUGAGUAGGUGAUUCGUCCCAAAUUAUAAGUACCUUAUUCCUUUUUUGGUUGUCCUAAAUUAUAUGUCAUUUUCUAUAUUUAAAUGUUCUUUUGCUUGUACUACCCUUGCUUUGGAAUUAGAGUAAUUAUUCUAAUAAAAAUAAUUAGGCAUUAUAAUUUUUUUUUUUGGAUUGGCAAGCAGGGUUAAGGGGACCCUUACCCCUUUUAAAUUACGUGUGGAAACUUCUAUCAACAAUCAGCUGUUGACGUGUUUCGAACCCACAACCUCUCCACUUUCUGAGAGGGGUGCUACCAUUGAGCCACAAGCUCAUUCGCGAUUAGGCAUUAUAAUUGGUAUUAAAUAGGGGUAAAUUUAGAAAUAUAGUUAGUAGACAAAUAAUAAAUGAUGUUCCCUUAAUAAGUAGAAUAUUCCAAAAGGUACUUAUAAUUUGGGACGGAGGGAGUAUAUCAUAUUUAACACCAGAGUCUAUACUUCCACCCUGGACCUGUGCAAUCCAGUGAUCUAAGUACCUGUACUCGAUCACUAAGCCAAACAUUAUUUGUCCCGAGGCGCCAUUGCUUAGUCGUACACUAGGUCGCUAGUGAGCUUAAUUAUCACUGCAGGCGACUACAACUUACCAAGUACUACACUUUGAAAUUAGUGAUGCUCCACGAAAGUUAUUAGAAAUAGUUAUUAGAAAUGAUGUUUAUUACUUUAUUAUAGGCUCCAGAUUUUGCCAAGGAAAAUAUUGAUUUUGCCAAGGGCCACAAUUCAAUAUGACUAAAUUAACCCUAAUGAGAACCCAUUUGCAACUCAGAUUUUGCUCAUCUCUUCGCUCUUUUUUAACUUCUAAUCGCAACAUCACUACAUCAAUCUGCCAAUAAAAACGAUCACUACCAUUAGUCAUCAAUGUGUUCAAUCAAGACUUAUUAAACCUUAAUAAGUUAAUUUAUUAUGCCAAUAACGCCACCAUCAUCCCAUUGAAUCUAUCUAAUCGGCCAAGAUGACACUUGGCCUUUGAAUAUACGAUAUCAAUCUUAACCGAAUCAUGAAACCUUGCAACUCUUUGAAAAAUCAUAUACAAAUUCUUUAGAUUAUUCUCUUGGCAAAAUGUUAGAAUUUUUAAAUUAGGGGUAGUUUCGUCACAUCAAGUUAUGAACAUUAGCAAAAUCAAUAUUUCCCUUGGCAAAAUCCAGAGCCUUAUUAUAUAGAUUAAUAGAGAAUGAAUGUUUAGUACCAUUCAAAAUAUGCAAAUUAUUGUUAUCGUGCCAGUUUGAAUUUUGUCUCGCACUCUUUUUUUUUUAUGUGCAAACCAAAAUAUAGUUAGUGUCGCGUCUGGGACUCUUGGUAUAUGUUACAGAAUAAAAUUAAAAUAAUAUUACCUCAGGUAGCUGCAAUCAAAAUGAACAAGCAGUAUUAAAUCAGUGGCUGAGUCGCGGACUAGGUCGCUCUCUUUAAGACGUUUCGCGGCUCUGCCUCUGUUGUGCAAGCAGUAAUAGUCACGUCGUCCCCAGGAUAAAACAACCCAAAUUUUUCGAAUUCCUUUUACAUAAGGAAGAAAUUCGAUCUCACUUUCAACACUCUUUCUUGCUCAAGAAAACUAAGAGAAAACCAUUUUUGUUAUGUAUUUCUCUCUUGUCCACCACUUUUUUUAUAACUAAAAAAGAUUUGUUAAUGGUGGAGGAAAUCUCUCCCUAAAUCAAGCCAUAACGGCUAGGGUUGAAAUAAACACGUUUUAAUCAAUUUAAAUGCUAGGGCACAAAUUCGAAAUUUGAAAAAAAAAAAAAGAGAUUUCCAAGAGCCCUAAGGCCCGGCCCAAUCAUAGAUAAAUCAAAUAAUAUGAUCUAUGUAUUGGCAUGGGUUUGAACCCCACACCUCAUGUGAGAACCCAAACUCACAACCACCAAGCCAAACUCCAAACCAUAUCAAUAUUUAGGAAUGUUUAGAUAUAACCUUAAAAACCAACAGUAUAGUAUUGAUGUAAAUUACGUUCAGAACAUAUUCCAUAGUUACAAAAUACUCCAAAGUCCAAAGUGAUGUGUAACUAUACCCCAUGCAUCCGCUGUUUAGCCGAAUGCGGAGUUAUUAUGCAGACAUAUAUACAUUGAGAUAAGCCUUUUAGUCUUUAACACUUUUUCUUUUAUCUUUACACAAAUCUUUGGAGUAAGAGGUUCUCCAUAAAUGGGGGACAUUUGGAGUUACAGGUUGCAGAGCGGGUAACAGGAUCAUCUUUAAGUUUCAGCUUAAAAUGUAGACAGGCGGACUAAUUAGCAGGAUCACAAAGGCAGGUCUUAAAUUGACCUUCUUCUGGGCUUGUGUGGGUUGUGAUUUGCGUGUGCGCCAAAGGACACAGUUGCAGGGAGUUUAGCAGUUAAAAGGCAGGUCUUAUGACUCUAGUCUUAUGGUAUAAUCAAGCCUUGUAUACUCUGAACGAUUGUUAUUGUGCAUCAUCACUCUUUACUAUUUAGUACAUAGCUAGGACGCUAGGUGCAGGACAAUUAUCGUGCCAUGUAUAAUGUAUUGUUGUUAGUGGAAGUUAUAUAUUAAUGUAAGAGUGCCUAAUUAUCUUAAAUAUAAUACCUUAUUUCCACAAUCUUAAUUAACACAAACUGUCUCUAUUCAACGAGUGGCACUCCGCACUCAUUAUUAAAGCUGGUUUGAAAUUUGCCACACACUUUUUUGAUGCGCAAAGAAAAAAAGAAAAAGUGUUCAUGACUUAUCUCGAUAGGGUCAUUUGGUGACAGCCAUCUUUUACAAUUUACAUAUUUGAAUUCAAUUAGUUAAGGGUUGGUGUCCUGAGUGCAAUUGCACUGAAGUCAUGGCCUCAGACCUCAGUCUCACCAUAAUAAUAAGAAAUUUGCGGCAAAAUUUGAAGAAGAUAAACCAUGUAUCAUAAAAACACCAGGAUACAUGAACAUGCGAAAACUUAAUGAUCGGGAGACUCACGAACUCCCCCUAAUGACCACCUCAAAUUAAGACAGAGAUGUGCAUAGACUUUACUUAUCGAUGUUUCUCCCCAGUAUGCAGAGAGCAUUUUUUUAUGCCUGAUCUUAACUCCUCACCCUGCAACAAAUAGUUAAAACCAAAAUGUAAUUAGAAAACUUUUUCAUACCUGCCUUUAACUAAUUUUCAAAUCUAGUGGAAAUCAUAGAACAGAAUUUCACGUUCCUGACACACAUUUGGAAUUUUACGGCAUUUUGUACUAUGGUAAAAAUUGUUAAAUUAAUGAGUCAUAGAAAAUGCUAAUUUUUUCUAAAGGUACGUACUAUAAAGAGUUAGAGAUCGAGAAACAAACUUACUUAGAGCAAUCGGUAGAAGGACUGAUUGGGUAUGGAAUGUAGACUCCACAUUUGCUAGGUAAAGAAGCGAUAAGCUUCAUAUUGAGUCCAUUGACUCCUCUAGCAGCUUGCGUCAAACAUCUACACACAGUCUGGCGGUCUGGUGUGCUUUUAGCUGUAGUACUAAGGGACUUGAUCCCAGUGCAACAAGGAGGAGGAACCGGCCCUCCAUUACCACUGACGUAGCUUAAGCAAGGGUACAAAUUGCUGUAUACAGAGUUACAUGUCACGGCGGCUUCUGCAUAAGGCGCACUAACCACCAACAUGCAGGCAACCAACACACAUGUGAGCUUAUAGAUCAUUGAACAUGCCAUUGUCACAACUUACAAAGUAGUAAUACUUCAAAACUAUAUCAAUUUCUUUCUUGGUUCUCUGUACUGGAGUGAGUGAUGCUGAAAGCCUAUCAGCAAUGGUGUUUAUAUAGAAAAUGAAUACUAUCAUUCAUGUCAAGUGGACCAUUAAUAUAUAUCGACCAUUCAUAUAAAGUGGUCCACUUUUUUUUUUUUCUUUUUAAAUUUUCCUGCAAAACAAAUAGAAAAAAUUGGACCAUCAAUGUCACAUGCAAUAUAGUGUACAGUUAUCGUGUCGUGUCGGUUCGAAUUUUGUCCCACACAAUUAUUUUGAUGAGCAAACCGAAAUAUAAUUACGUUCAGGACAAUUCUUUUUGUUUUUUGUGAUUUCCAAAGUGAAAACUUAAUGAGAUUAUUUAGUUUAAUUUGUUAUGUAUCAUGUUUAAUUUUCUUCAAAGUUGGAUAUUAGUAGCAAAAACCUAAUGAGGUUCACCAUCAAUCAUAGUCAUAUAUACAUACGGUCAUUUGGUGACAACUGUUGGUUUUUUUUGUGAAAACAAAGGACGAAGGGUGCAUACGUACGUUCAGCAUCACAGUAACUUUUUUAUCGGAGAACGUACGAACGUUGAUGGUAACAUUCAGGAACGUACGUACGUAGUUAGGGCGUACGUACGUCCUGUAGCACAAACUACUUCUCCGUGGUCCGACGUACGAACGUUCGUUCGACGUACGUACGUCCUCCUUUGUUUUUGUGCUAUAUGGGCCCUGUUUAAGCCCAAUUCGUAGUCUAUUGUAAGACUAUGUUAUAAAGCCAAGUAAAAGUGGAAAAACCUAGGUUUUCUAAGUGAGAGAGAUUGUGAGAAGCCAUUAGAGAGUUUGAGAACUUUUGCGAGGAAGAAGACUUCGAUUUUCUUCGUGAGGGCUUGUACAAUGUCUCGAUAAGAAAAACAUCAUCCUUUCUCCCCGUGGACGUAAGCUUAUUGCCGAACCACGUAUAUCUUGUGUCUUGUGUGGUUGCUUGUUUGAUUUUGUCGUUUUGUUUUAUUUUCAUACAUUAGUUCAAUCAUCUUAUUUGUGCAUUAGUUUCCGCUGCGCACAACAAGUGGUAUCAGAGCUUCGGUUAGAUCUUGAGUGUCUUGAAGGUGUUUGAAGAAAUUCCGCAGUGAGUUUCUUAAUUGUGUUUCAAGUCCAAGGUUCUACCUUUUGUUCGUGGGUUGCAUAGAAGGUGUUUGUUGAAAUUCCGGUGUGAAUUUCAGAUUUGUUUACUUUCGUUUGGUGAUUGUUUAGUGCAUGAAAGUUGGUGGAAAGAUGGCAGAAGAAUUGAAUUUGAAGGAUUCGAAGGGGGAAAUCAAGACAAUGGUUUUCCAUCAAGCAAAAAUUGAUGUAGAGAAGUUUACCGGCACCAAUAACUUUGGUAUGUAGAGGUGUGAGGUAAUGGAUGCUCUAUGUCAACAAGACCUAGAAGAUGUUCUGGAGGAUAAGCCAGAAGGUAUGGAAGAGAAGGAUUGGAAGAAGAUGAACAAACGAUCUUGUGGAAUCAUAAGAUCGUAUUUGGCUCAAGACAUUAAAUACCUUGUGAUGAAUGAUACUUGUGCAAAGAGAUUUGGCGAAAAUUGGAGGAGAAGUACUUGACAAAGACUAUCCACAAUAAAAACUAUCUACUUCGAAAGUUUUAUCGAAUAGAUAUGAGAAAAGGUAUUUCAAUGGCGGAGCAUCUUAAUGAUUUUACCAAGGUAAUUGCCGACUUGGUGAAUCUUGGAGUAGAUGUAAGUGAUGAAAGCAAGGCAGUGUGUCUCCUCAAUUCGUUACCGGACGAAUAUGAACACUUGGCUAUCACACUUACAUAUGGAAAAGACAAGUUGGUGUAUAGUGAGAUUUCUGCAGCAUUGUUAAAUCAUGCGUGUAUUAAGAAGGACAAAGAAGAGUCCAAAAGCUCAACACCAGAGGUCUUAGUGGCAAGGGGAAGCUACAAUAGUAGGGGUGAGUCUCGUAGGGAGCCGAAGAGCAGGUUUCUAGCAAAAGAUGAAUGUUCCUUUUCUCAUGAGAAAGCGCAUUGGAAGAAAGAUUGUCUUCAAGCCAAGGCAAAGGACAAGAAGAAUAACUCUGAGGUAAAUAUUGCACAUAUUAAUAGAGAUGAAGAUGAUGGUUCUGAUUAUUCUUUAUGUGUUUCAUCCAUCGAUUGUUCCACUAGUGCUAAUGAGUGGAUAUUAGAUUCGGCUGGUACUUAUCAUGUGUGUCCCAUAAGGGAAUGGUUUUCUAGCUUUAAAAGGCUAGAUAAUGGUAUAGUAGUGAUGGGGAAUGAUCAACCUUGUCAUGUAUUGGGGAUAGGUACUAUUCGAUUGAAGAUGUUUGAUGGAAAGAUAAGAGAGCUGGGGAAUGUAAGAUAUGUUCCUGAUUUGAAAAAGAACUUUAUUUCACUUGGUACUUUAGAAGCUAAAGGUUACAAGGUAGUAGCUCAGAAUGGUGUUCUAAAGGUUAUGGUUGGUGCAAUGAUAUUACUAAAAGGUAUUCGACGAAGUAACUUGUACUUCUUGCAGGGUAGUACAGUUACAUGUGAUGUGGCCAUGUAAGAGGCUACAAUUAAGUGUGCUAGAGAGACUACAAAAUUGUGGCAUAUGCGGUUGACGCAUGAAUGUGAAAAAUCUUUGCAGACAUUGACGGAGCAAAGGUUUUUUAUAGGUGCUAUCGCCUGCAAGUUAGAGUUCGGUGAACAUUGUGAUCUGGGCAAGCAGACAAGAGCAAAGUUUGGCACAACUAUCCAUUGUAUGAGUGGAGUUCUUGAUUAUGUUCACAUGAAUGUCUGGAGACCUACCAAGUACACAGCUUGGAGAGGUAAGUCUUAUUUUGUGUCUUUAGUUGAUGAGUUUUCUAGGCGUGCGUGGGUGUACAUCAUGAAGCAUAAGGAUGAAGUCCUAGAAUAUUGAAGUGGAAGAAGCUAGUUGAGGCCCGAAUUGACACAAAGAUCAUGGUAUUGUGUUUAGAUAAUAGCAUAGAGUACAAAGAUGAUUCGGUCUUGCAAGUAUGUCAGACUGAGUGUAUUGAGCGUCGUUUCACUGUGAGAAAGACACUGCAACAGAAUAGGGUGGCAGAACACAUGUUGUCUAUGGCUGGAUUAGGCAAAGUGUUUCAGGUUGAGACAUGUCAUCUUAUUAACAGGUUGCCUUUGAUUGUGAUAAGUGGUAAAACUCUUAUGGAGGUUUCUAUGUUGAAGCCUGAGAGUUCUCAGCAGGUGGAGAACAAGACCAAAGAGGUUUUGCAGUGGGUGGAGAUUUGCAUAUCUCCAUAUGUUCCAGUGGGUUCUGUAUCUAAUGUGGAAACCUUUGUAAGGGUUUUGGGUGUUUCAAAUUCUGAUGGCAUGACAGAUGAUGAGACGAUUGGAAAUGCAGAAAAUGGUGAUCCUAUUGAUGAGGGUCCAAUUGCAACUAGAUUACCUAAGAAGGAAGAAGAAUCUCCAGGUAAAGAUGUGCACUUGAAGGUAAACGUUUGCAUCCUUAUGGCCUUGGUAGUGCGAUCUGAUUGUGUAUUAACUCUGUUUGAUGUGAAAACGGUUGUUUUACAUGGUGAGCUAGAUGAGGAGAUUUAUAUGUCUCAGCCUAGUGGUUUUGGAGUUGCAGAGUAUAAUGAGUUGGUGUGUUUCAAACCAUAUAAUUCACGAGCAGUGGGCAUUGUAGGUAGAUACAUGCAUGAUCCUGAUGUGAGACAUUGAGAAGCUGUGAAAUGGAUGUUCCACUACAUUCAAGGUAGUGUGGAGGUUGGUUUGUUAUUUCAACAUGGAAGGACUUUGAGUCUGCGGUGUGUUGGUUAUGUGGAUGUUGAGUAUGGUUGUCACUUAGAUAGACGUUGGUCUACUCCUGGAUAUGUGUUUACAUUGGCAGUGAGAUUUAUCAGUAGGUUGUCUACAUUACAUUCUAUGGUUGCUUUGUCUCCGACAGAAGCUUGGAAUAUUGCCGUGACUAAAGUGGUGUAUGGGACUAAGUUCUAUUGCUUAGAAUUUUGUCCAUAUCCUUCCUCCGAGUUGAUAAUAUAUCUAUGAAGUGAACUACGAUGGCUUGAUCCCUUAGCAGAAGGGUACGUAGGCAACCAUGAGGUGGUGCAGCCGAGGUGGUCUUUCGGGACAUGUGUGGGAGUUUGUGACUUGUGUUAUUCUUGGUGUCGGCUUAGAUUUAUUGAAUCUUCGCCGAGGUGGAGAAUUGUUGGGUUUUUUUGUGAAAACAAAGGACGAAGGGAAGAUUUCUGUUCAGGAACGUACGUACGCAGUUAGGACGUACGUACGUUCAGCAUCACAGUAACUUUUUGAUCGGAGAACGUACGAACGUGUAUUCGACGUACGAACGUUGAUGGUAUCAUUCAGGAACGUACGUACGUAGUUAGGGCGUACGUACGUCCUGUAGCACAGACUACUUCUCCGUGGUCCGACGUACGUACGUCCUCCUUUGUUUUUGUGCUAUAUGGGCCCUGUUUAAGCCCAAUUCGUGGUCUAUUGUAAGGCUAUGUUAUAAAGCCAAGUAAAAGUGGUAAAACCUAGGUUUUCUGAGUGAGAGAUUGUGAGAAGCCAUUAGAGAGUUUGAAAACUUUUGUGAGGAAGAAAACUUCGGUUUUCUUCGUGAGGGCUUGUACAAUUGUCUCGAUAAGAAAAACAUCAUUCUUUCUCCCCGUGGACGUAGGUAUAUUGCCGAACCACGUAUAUCUUGUGUCUUGUGUGGUUGCUUGUUUGAUUUUGUCGUUUUGUUUUAUUUUCAUACAUUAGUUCAAUCAUCUUAUUUGUGCAUUAGUUUCCGCUGCGCACAACAACAACUGCCUUUCUUCUCGAUCCCUUUUCGUAUCCAGCAACUAAUUUGAAUUAAAUUUAACUUAAUAGUGCAACUGUGCAAGGGUUUCGAUCUUUUAACUUUGGCUCAAAAUUUAGACAGGACACUGGAGAAGAGCACAGUUUCACAUAGAAGCACCUGUGUGUUGAUCUCUUUAUGGGCUUUGUGUGUGUGUACGUGUGGGGUGGUUGGUUGGUGUUAUCUGCAGUUUUGUGAGCAUCGAAGGACACAGUUCGCAGGCCGGGAAAUUAGCAGUUCAAAAGCAGGUCAUUUUAAUAGUAGAAACAUUGUGAAAGAUGUCCAUUAUUGAUGUUGUCCUCUAUGUUUCUGUGCCUUCUGAACCAUACGUUACCCUGCGUGCGACAAAUAGUUAAAACCAAAAUGAAAUAACUAGAAAACUUUUUAACAAAAAUGUCAAUAAAAUUACAAUACAAGAAUUAUUCCAUAUCGAUCAUCUUGACAACAAUUAGCAGAAAUGUUGUCUACUUCUUGACGUAUAUAUAACAGUACAAUCGAUCUAAUUAUCUUUCUGUUUGAAUUUUUUUUUCCCACGUAUGUACUCUUACUUGAUGUGCAUUAUUGUCUUUGAUUUACAUUUCAGCAAGAAGUUCACAACCAGCUUUAUGAUAUGAUUGCUUAAUAAUGUGUUAGUAUAUAUAUGUGUGGAUUCAAAAUUGCUGUCAAUGACAUUUCUUGAACCAUGCAUGGUUCCACCACCAAGGACUUCAAAACAUAUUCAUGUGAUGACUGAUGAAUACCAAUAGUCUUGUCUGAGAAGAGGAAAAUCUGAGAAUGAUUUUUCCAUGUCAGUUCUCAGAAUGUCCAUUGAAUAUAAUCAUGAAUUUACAAAAUUUAAUUCACAAGCCAAACAGUUGACACUGGCCGGUGAGUAUAACUAGCUUUAGCUCCUAAAUCUGUCGAAAUGUUUUAUAUAUUGGCAAACUUUUUUCAAGAACUGCCAACUGCAUUGCUAAAAUUUGGAUAGCAUCAACCAACCGUGAAGUAAUUCCUAUGUGGUGGUCGAUCCUCAUUAAACCGUUGAUUAGUUCCUAUGUGGCAAGAUUCCUGUGCCGGUAUUUGGACAAGAAUUUCGCAAAAUUGGCUAUGUUAUCAGAGGUUAAUUUUGUAGGUACCAUGAUUUGCAGGUUUUUAGGUCCAUCAUAAUAAUAUAUUGUGUCUGUCUCGGUCGUAAUAAUAAUAAUUGCUGUGAAAUUCAACAAAGAUUCAACAUAAUAUAGAAUAGGUAAUUUAAUAUUUCAUAAAAACAGAUGGUUACGUACAUAUAUAGUGCGAUAACUAAAUUAAAUGAUCAAUCAGAGACUCACGACACUCCCCUAAUCACCACUUAAAAUGUCCAUUCUAUUUAUUGAUGUUAUCUCUGGUACAUACUUGUUUGUGCCUUCUGAAGCUUACCUCACGCUGCAGCAAAUAAUAAAACAGAAUAUAUUAGAAAACAAUUUCAUAUAAACGUCUGAACUCUGAAUAUUUCAAGUCUAAUAGUACUGAAAAUCAUACAUGUGAUAGAAUUACGCAAAAUCAUAUCUUCUAACAGUAUUGUGGAUGAAUUAUGGAGUUUUGCUGUGUCAUGUACUAUAUAUAUUUGCAUGGUAGAAACAGUUCAAUGAGUAGACGAGUAGUCAUGUAUAAAAAUGCUAUGCACAACUUUAUAUCCACGUGUUCGGGGAAGUGGGGACGUAUAUAUGUACCUAGCGCAAUCGGUGGAAGGACUGAUUUUGUAUGGAAUGGAGACUCCACAGUUUGCAGGGAGAGAUUCGGCAAGCUUGUAAUUGAGUCCGGAAAUCUUACUGGCAGUUGUCUUCAAGCAUCCGCAUGCAGUCUGGCGGUCUGGUGUAGUUCUAGCAAGUGAGUUAAGGGACUUGAUCCCAGCACAACAGUUUCCAGGAACUGGACCUCCGCGUCCACGGAGGUACUGAAUGCAAGGACCGACCUUACCCGCUACAAGCCCACAUGAUAUAGCUGCUUCUGCAUAAGGUGCACUUACCACCAGCAUGCAUGCAACCAACACACAAGUGAACUUAAAGAUCAUUGAACUUGCCAUAUAGUUACAAAUAAUUGAUCAAUAUAUGCUAAACUCGCUGUUGUACAGGACUGUGUGAUUCUGAAAUCAGUCAGACCUGAAGUUUAUAUAGAGAGAAGAGUGAGUGGUGUAAAAAAUGUGUUUCAUUAGGAACAUAGCUAUAGCUAGCUAGUUAGGCCGGUGGACUAAUGAGGGUGGUGCUGCUGCCUUAUAUAGUUGGUUGUUGAAGUUAAUAAAUGUAGCAGGAAUUUGUUCUCUUGUGUUCUGCAUGUACUACGCCUUCUUAUUUGAAAUCUUCUGAUUAUCAGAAAAGUUUGUCUUCUUGAUGUAAUGUUUAUCGAUCUUUUAGUAGUACGUUCCGACGAGCACUCAUUAUUAGUGCCGCUUAGAAUUUUUGUCCCAUUGAUGAUUGAUGUGCAGUAUGGUCCAUAUGCUACCUGUUUGGUGAAUGAAUAUAUGGUUGUGUGUUACAUACUAUGUGGAUAGAAAUUGUUGUAAAUGAGGAAUGUUAAUUAUGCAGGUGACCAGCAACCUCUUCUACAACCGGCCACAUUAUUAUUGUGUUAUUUUUUUCUUAUCUUUUAUUAUCAGUAAAUAUUUACAUUCAUGAAAAUGAAAAAAAAAAAACCCAAUAGCUUAGUCAUUCGAAGGCGGUAUUUGGCUUAAGUUUUAUUCUCAUUAAUUAACUGAUUUAAUUUCCUAUGCAAAUUUUAGUAAAUAAAAAGGUGCAUUUUGUAAAAUGAAUUGUACUCUUAAUUUUGAAUUUGAAUGUCGAUGCUGACCCUUUCCUAAUUCCAAUCUUUACAACUACUUUCAUUAAAUGAUCUAGCUUAGCAUAGUGGUGAGUGGUGAGAUCUCUUCCACCACCACCACACUCGCCCCUCAACCGGGCUGUGUAUUUUCAAUAUGUUGGAGUUCAUUGUUAAAAGUAAACUAUUCCGAUUCAAUGUUAAAAGUAAACUACAACCGGGAUGUGUAUUUUCAGUAUUUUUUUUUUUUAGAUUAAAAGUAAACUAUUUAACAUCCGAUCCAAUUAAUAUAUGAAGAGAAAUCAUAAUGACACCCAGAACUUUACAAAGAGCUAUCCAAAAAAUUAAAGUUACCCAUCCAAAAAUUAUUACUAAUUAAAGAAACCCAAUGUGAUAAGAGCCACUUAAUUUUUUCACUUUCUUUUUUUCUCCCUCUCUUUCAACAAAUUUUAUUCAUAUUCUUAAAUCGAUGUUCAAGCAUCAAUGUAAAUUAUAUAUUCAAAUAAAACCCAAAAAUAUUUAAUUAAUUAAUUUAUCCUUCAAUUUUAGGUCAAAUAAUAUCAAGUUAAUACAAAUUUCUACAUUUUAUCAAAAAAAAAAAAACUUAUAAACAAAUUUAUAAGAAGAAAUAACUUGAGUUUUUUCAUAAAAUAGUGAAUCUUCAUCCAUAUAUAUUAAGAUAUUUUAUUCUCUUACAAAUUUGCCAUCGUCAUAAUAUAAAAUAAAAUAUUAAAUUUAAGAUUUUGGUAAACAAUAAAGUAAUGAUUUAGGUUUUUGUUAAAGGAGAAAACAAAAAAACUCAAGAACUAAUAGUUUAGGUUUUUUUUUUAAGGCCUGCCCAAGUUGCAUCCUGUAUUGGACCCUUUCUAUGGGUCAAUUCAAAAAAGCCCAGUACGAGGUAAUGUGAACCCAAGAUCAAAACCAAUUUGAUAUAAAAAAAUAUUAGGGAAAUCAUAUUGCCACCCCGGCAGUUUGCUAAGAGCUAUCCCAUUUUUUAACCUCACCCCACCAAAAAUAAUACUACUCUUAGGGCACCUAUUCUACUCGAUUCUACUAAGAGCCACCCGACAAAAUAAAAUCCCAUAUCUCUGAAUCUCUUCGUUUUCUCUAUCUUAAUCUUCCAUUGAUAAAGAACAACAAUAAUAUCAAGUAAAUCUUCCAUCAAGAUUUCAAUCGCAAAAUUUCCAACUCUCUAAUCGCAAGUCUCGUUUUGGUCAAUUAAUUUUACCUUAUGAUACUGAUAAUAAUAACGACGAUAGCGAAGAAGAAGACGAUGAUGAUGAUGACCUCUUCUCCGAUGUAAGUAACUCAGUUUGAGCUUUAGCUUUGUUUAUUUGUGUUUAAUUUAGCAAUUAGUUUGUUUUAGACCUAGAAUUUGGUUUUCGGAGCUUGAACCGAAGGCAUUUUCCUUUUCUGUCAUAUCUUUAAGAAGUAUGAAUACAGUAUGUGAAAAUUAAUCUUAAAAACAUACAUUGGAACCGUUGUUAGUCAGCUAUUUUGCUACGCAUGAUCAACAUAAUCUUGUAACAUACAUUAUGAGUGUUACUAGGCAGCAGGCAGCUACAUACAGACAUAUUCAGCAUAUUCUUGACAGAUAAACUGUGAAUGGUAUUUAAUUAAACUUUGUGUGUUACUAAUUCAGCAAAAAAACAUUAUACAAAGUAAGAAUUGUUUUUCCCUUUAGAAAGCCUAGUAUCCCCAAUAAGCCAAUACAUUUGAGGAUUAAGUUACUUGGUUGGAUUCAUCCUGGGCAUACGCCAUACCAGAGUUAAUGUUGACUUCAGUUGAGCAUUAAAAGUCUUGUGUUGAUCUUGUGUUAAACAUCUUAAUAAAAAAUUCCAUUCAAGCAACAUUUUGUUUUUAUGAGCAAGUUUACAUAUGUACAUACACGAUAAUCACUUUUAAGAAGUCAUGCCUGAUGCAGGUGUAUAAAUGAUUUAUCAAAAGAUUUACUAUUGUAUUAUGAAAAGAAUUUACGAGUCUGACAUAUUUCUUUGUAAGGUUCAGCCAGUAGUACAGAUUUUACAUCACUGCACGUGGGAAUACUCUAAAUCAAGAUUUAAUUAGUUGUGUAUCAAGCUACCCAAGUCUACAAAAGUACAAAGUGUUCAAGAAAAAAAAAGUAUGUUCAUGAUUGAAUAUUUGGUAUGAAGGUGUAAGAUGUUAUUUUCUCCUUGCUUACUUGUGUCUACUUAGGUACUUGACUGAAUAUUUGGUUUGUUGAUUGUUGUUUUUUCUCAUUUUUUUUCCAAGUUUUUUGUUCUGUUUGUGACACUGAGCAGCAUGUGGUUGUGGUGGUUUGAUGCUAUGCAUCUUCAAUAAACUUUGAUUUUCAGAACUUAAUUUCAUUAGGUUAGUGUGCAAGUUGUGCGAUGAUGAUGCAAGUUCUGCGAUGAUGAUGUACUGCAUGGUUUUCUUCUUUUUACUUAAAUUUACCAACUCUUUUUAAUUGAUUUCAUUCUGGCAACAGCUGUUUGCUGUUUGCAGAUUUCGAAAGAACAAUUUCAUUGCAAUGGUUGUGGGAUUUGCAGGUUAGUUAAGCAGUGGGUUUUUGCAUUGUGUCACUUGCUCGACAUUAAUUGAAUUAGUAGUCUGAUCCGAAUCUUGAAUCUGUUUCAGAGUUGGGGGGGUCAAAGCCAAAAGUGUGGUAUGCAAUCUUUAUUUCAUUAUUGUUGUGUUAACUGAAAACAAGCAUGUCAACUUAUUAUAUUGUCUUAGCUAUGAGAUGAAACUCCAACCUACCAUAAGAGAAAGGCCACCAUGAUUGACAUGUAAUAUUGACCUGUAUUAAAAGCCAAAUUUUACAAGACCCUGAUUAGAUACUACCUGUACCUUACAUGAAGAAUUGAAUAUAUAUGGGUUCCUCGACUUUGACACCCCAAUUAACACCCAAACUUGAUUAGAUAUUCAUGUUUAUGCUUUUCAGUGGAUCUAUAAGCUCAAAAUGGAAGAGCGCUCAUAAAUUGAGAGGUUGAUGGUUCAAAUCCAUCUAGAUCCAAUUAAACUAUCUUGCUUGGUUGCUAUUGAAUAGUUACUUUGUAAUACACUUACAUGAACUUGAUAUCAUCUUUGUGAUAGAGACCAAUUGGCUUGAAGCAAUAACGAUUUUUAAAGCUUUAGUAUGGUUGUGGCUGCAGAUAGAUAAAGAGCCAUCGUGGAAGUAAACCGGAAGCAGUACGGGCAGCAGUAGCGCGUGCAAUUUGUUCUGAACAUGUGUGCAACGGAAUACAAAGUACAGUAUCAACAACAAAGAGCAAAGUGAGAGCAUAUGUAACAUGAAUACAUACUCUAAGUUUACAGAUAUUUUAAUACAUUUCUAUUUAUUCCCAAAGUUAACAAAACUGAGCAGGUUACACCACUCUUUCCAUUUGCAAGAAGAAAAAACAACAUAAAUAACAUAUUUUUGACUACAUGAAUACUAAACCAUUAAUAAUAAAUUACAUUCUUAUUGUAGUAUAAUCGGCUGAUCAUAGCUUCCUUCUUGUGUUUGUACUUUGUUGCCCGCAAUUUCAUUAAAUGCACGGUUACGAUGCUUCAAGAAAUUCUCCCAUUUGCCAGCUUCCCGGUUAUGAAACUUUUUCCAAAAUACAACAGGUUCCGGAAUCGGACACCCGAGUUUCAACUUCAAUGGUACAAAAUGAUUUCCAUCGAUAUGUCCAAUAGCAAUCACCUGUGAUUGCUUACCCGAAGGGGCGGUUCUCAAUGGUACAAAAGUCAAGCAAGUUUCAAGAGAAAUAGACACGAGCAAACAAUGAUAUCUUGAUGCAACCAGAUAACCCAUAUAGGGUAAUAAGAACCAGUUUUUUGCUGGGCAUGGGCUAUCAAAGGAAUCUAAAAUAUCAAGAAGGGCAUUCACUUGUUCCUCACCACCAAACAUUCGACUAUAUUCAUCUCGAAAGAAAAUAAGUUCGCCUCUCAAAUCAGUGCGAACUAUAAUCCAUCCAUUUUCGUUGUCCAUCUCCAAGCAUGCUGCCACAGCUCUAAAACCACAAUUCCCAUCGCCAUCUACAUUCUUCGAAUCAACUAUAAAUGGCCAAAAAAACUCAGGAAACUUCAUUAUACUCACGUUACCCAUAGUUUGAAGUGUCUUCAUAACAUUCAAUUUCUUCGACUUGGUAACUUGUAGUUUCUUUGUUACAGGGGUUGGUUGGGAAACUUUUAAUUUCUUUGUUGGUGGUAUCAGUUGUGCGGAUUGAGAAGAAUGAAGCUUAGGGAUUUCUAGCUCAAAAGCCGAAGGAUCGCGCUUUGUUGAGUUAUCAUCAUUUGACAUCUUAUUCCUCGAUCCAAGUGGUCGUCCUUUAGGCUUAGUUUUCACCAAUGGUUGAAGCAAACCACAAGUUCUUGGGUUUCCUAACUCUAACAUCUUCUUCAACAUAAACCUCCUUUGGUCAUUUGUGGAGUUCUUGUAACGAUUAACAAGCGCAAGAAACUCUGGUCUCACCUCAAGAUCAGACAAGUCAACAUUAGCAGCAGUAAUACUUAACUUCUUCCAGAAUUCAUUUAUUUCAUCUGAAUGUAUCUUAUCACUCUGGAGACCAAUUAUAUUAAGUUCAUGUGCACAUGGGAGCCCAUGCGUACGACGAAGAUUACACCCACAAAUGUUGUUGUCAAUUCCCACAUAGUUGCAUCUCUUCCUCUCUUUCACAAUCAAAUCUAAUGCAUUUAUCGACACGAUACCUCGAAUAUUCUCAAAGCAUUGGAUGUUAUGCUCAUGUUUCACACAAUUCAGAUUUCUCUCAAACGAUGUUGUGAUCUCAAUCAUUUGUACUGUAAGAGAAGGAUGAAUCAUAUGCCACAUGCCAAGAAAAUCAUAUUUGCUUGACCUAAGUGCCCUUUUCAGUGAUGCAUGUGCACCUUCCACUCUAUUUGUGCUAGUAUUACCAAAAUGCAUAUGUUGGUCUGUCCAAGCUGCAACGAACCGUUCUUUGAAUCCCAACCAAGUUUGAUGGAGGUAAUGGAGAAAUGUAGGCCACCUGUUAAACUCAUCUUCUAAUUCUCUCAACUGACGAACAUAUUCAACUUCAGUAGUUGAUAAUACAACCUUUGCCCACUUAUCACACAAUGUUUCUUCCAUAUCUUUAUCUUGAGUUUCUUUCUUCCCUUCUGCUAAAACAUCAUUUGAGUUAUGCCAAUCCCGAAUUUCUUUCUUCCCUUUUACCAAAACAUCCUUUGAGAUGUGAUAUUCUCUGAGUUCCUAGUUUGGGCUAUUGAAGCAUAAGGUUGGAAGAAAUUGUUCUGCGCAGCGGAAACUUAUGCACCAAUACCCAAGAUUAAAAUAGUAUAUGAAUCAAACAAAACAAAAACAAAACAAACACAAAACACAAGAUUUACGUGGUUCGGCUAAUAUUGUCUACGUCCACGACUAAAACAACAAUCUUCCAAAUAGAGACGAUUAUACAAGCCCUCACGAAGAAACCAAAGUGUUCUUCCUCACAAGAGUUCUCUCAAACUCACCAAUGGCUUCUCACAAUCUCUCUCUCACAUGAAGAUUAGGUUUUCCAACCUUCUCAAUUGGCUUUAUAACAUAGCCAUACAAACACACACGAAAUGGGCUUAAACCGGCCCAUAUAAACAAAACCAAGAGAGGACGUACGUACGUCGAAUACACGUUCGUACGUUCAGCAAAAAAAAACAAACAUCUGUGAUACGGGACGUACGUACGCCGUAACUACGUACGUACGUUCCUUCCCACCAAAGUUAUCUGUCGAAUGGAACGUACGAACGUCCUAACUGCGUACGUACGUUCCUGAACAAAAAAGUUCCCUCCGUCCAAAAAAAUCCAACAAUUCUCCACCUCGGCGAAGAUUCAAUAAAUCUAAGCCGACACCAAGUCCCAAACUCCCAUACUUGUCCCGAAGGACCAAAGCGGUUGCACCACCUCAUGGUUGCCUACGUACCCUUCUUCUAAGGGAUCAAACCACCGUAGUUCACUCCAAUGACAUCUAUACGAUGCCCACCAUACCCCGAAGGGUCAAAUUCCCACAAGGAGCCAAAUCAAAACCAAAUGCCCACUAAUGCCGGGGCCAAAUCAAAACCAAUUGACCUUCCUUUGGGAGUUGAGUAUAAAUUUCAUUUCGUUUGUGAUCCUGAUGGUCUGUUGUUGAUUACUUCAGCGAGAAACUCCAAGCUACCAAAUACCAUCUCCACCUCAACAAAGUUCUCCAUCGAAGAUGAUCCAAUGCCCCGAAAAACUAACCUCUCAAGAGUUUUUCUUAUGAAGUUCAACCAAGUGGGGUACAAAUUCAAAUCACUAUGCAUAGAUUUACCAAAUACGUCUUCCUUACUAAGCGCCAAACAAACAUCACAUGAGAGAUUACCAACAAUAGGAAGUACGUACACAAAACCCCCAAACAAAAGGUUUCACGGCUUCAAUAAGGUUCUUGGGCGAUAACCUUGCUACUAACAAUGGUGGCUUCAACUUUCUUCUUUGCCGUGUCACCUAACAAACCAAUCAAAUGUGGAGCGACAUCAAUCUCCACCCGAACAAAUGACGCUUCAACAAAAUGCCUACCAACUAUGCAUGCCUUGCCACCCGCAAACAAAUCUGUCUUCACUUGCAUAGUACCAUCAACGACAUGCCCCAUAUUACUAUGCAAUUUCUUGGUAGAAUCGACAGACAAAUCAACAACUGAACUAUGCAAUUCCCGUGAAACCUUAUGCUUCAAUAGCCCAACCUUAUGCUUCAAUAUUUGUUCGUCUUAUACGUGGGAUCCAUAAUAAAAAUUUGAGGGAAACACUUGGCUAACUUCACUGAUUUAGGAUGAGCCCAAAACAAAUUUUUAACGACAACCGAACCUUCUUCGCAUCUACUCACUUCCACAUACCCAUUUUCAUUUAGUAAAUACUUUAAUUGUUGCAACUCUGUCAUGUCGGCCUUUUCUAACUUCUUGUGUUUUUGCUUAGCAUUGUACAUGUGUCGAAUAGUUGAUGAAUUAUUUGGGUCUCUAUCCUUGAUGACGUUUAGAGAAUGUUUUGGCCCUACCCCUGCUUUUAUCAUAUCAAACACAAGUCUUUCUUGCUCGGGAGUUAGCCGACCUACGUACGUGUGUCCUUCAAAGGAAGUUGCCAAGCCAUGGUUGUGACGAGCACAUUGGACUUCAACUUUCCAUUGGUCUUCGCUACCAGGCACAAAAACACCUCUUAACAUAAACGGACAAUCAAUUUUCUUUGUCCCCGUUCGUCUCUUUUUUUUUUUAAUUUUUCCUUCAUUGUCAAGUUCUUCUUCAUCUGUAAUUUCUGUUUUCUUGCGACGAUCUCUAUAUUUACCACUCCGCUCACAACGUAGAUAUAACCUUGGUCUUCUAUCUGAUGGAGCCAUCUCGGAUUUUGAAACAACAACAACUGUUCCACAAAUUAAUCCCAUUUGUUGAGCCCAUUGGAUUAAAUCUGAACGAGUCGCAAAAAUCUGAAUAAUCAAAAAUGAAAAAAAAAAUAAUAAAAUCCAAUUAGUAUAUGAAUACUUAUUAAUCAGUUGUUUAAAAGCAUUGAGCCUAAAACAUAUAUUGUUAUAUAAUAAGUAUCUUACCCUAUCUGUGGUAAAUGUCAUUGAUAAAUCCGGAUAUUGAACACUGUUUUCAAUAUAUGCAUCACUUGCCUAAAUUUAAAACAAUCAUGUCAGUAAACAAGUUUUUCAUGAGCAUAUAGAAACACAAAAAUAAAUACCUUAAAUUACAAAACAAAAUUUUCAGAACGUAACCUUUUGAGAAGUAACAACUUGAGUUUGUUCACUUAAGAGUGAAUCUUCAUUCACAUUGAUGUCUUCUACUUGUGCUCCAAAAUUUUCUUUGGAAUCAUUUUCAUUUGUUUCUUGCAAGUUUUCCAUAGUUAUAGACGGAAUAAAAAAAUAAAAAUUAAUACUAUAAUAUAUGAAGAAAAAAUAAAAAAAAAAAAAGUUUUUGUGUUGCAGAGGAGGAGGAAAAGAAGAGAUGGGGUUUGUAAAGGAGAAAAAAGAGAAGAGACGAAGCAUGACAGUAGUUUCAACUUUCAAGAAUUAAUUAGGUUUUUAGAGGGUGGGUGGCUCUUAGCAUGGGGUGUAGUUAUGUUUUUAGGGGUGUAUGUAAUAUGUGGGACAGCUCUUAGCAAAUUACCGGGGUGGCAGUAUGAUUUCCCAAAUAUUAUUGUAUGAGAAUUAAAAAAUCUGAUUAGUGAAAAAUAGCUUCAGUACAUGCAUUACCACGCUACAUCACCCACUAGCGGAAUGAGCGCUGGCCAGACACAACAGGUAUACAUAUCCCAUCCCCUCUUUUAUUUAUUGUUAGCACAACAUGACAUGCUUAGUGCUAAUUAUGAUUAGCCUCGUUAUUAUUACGCCGUAUUAUUCAUAUAAAACCUGUUGCUCGAUCCCUGGCCAUCACGCAUGCAUGCAUCCACUGAUCCACCUCACUUCACCCUGUAUCAAAAUCAGACUCAAAAUUUGAUCAGUACGUGGCAGUUUAUAAAAUGCCAAAAUAUAAGAGGGGGAGAUUAAUCAUUUUCGAUAUUGUUUAACUCAAGAUUUUUCACUUCAGAUAUAGUUAUUGGGCAAUUGGGUAGACCACGUAUGAUAGUUAACUGCCACUGGGUAACUUUGUUAAAUGCUUGAAAACAUGAGGAUAAAAAAGUGAUAAUUUUGCAAAGGUUUUAAAAAAUUUGGGACCAAAUUGACCAGUUUAAACUUUGAGGACUCAACUAAAAAUUUGAGCAAAGUUAGAGGACCAAAAUAGCUAAUUGUUCUACUUCAAUACCAUCACAAUUUAAUCAUUUGUUCAGUUGUUCUGGGUUUGAAUUAAUUAGUGUAGAGCACUAUCUGUUAAGAAAGGAGAAGUCUAUGUAUUAGAAACUGUUCAGUUGUUCUGGGUUUAAAUUAAUUAGUGUAGAGUAUUAUCUGUUAAGAAAGGAGAAGUCUAUGUAUUAGAAACUAGAAAGGUCUUCAUUACUUGGAGCAGGAGAAGUCUAUGUAUUAGAAACUCGAAAGGUCUUCAUUACUUGAAUCAGUCAACAGAGCUGCUAAUGGGAUAACCAAUUGUAACACCACAUUUGCCAGGAAGACCACUAGCAAAGCUAGGCUUGACCCCUAAAGCCUUACUAGCUUGUUUGAGGCAUCCACAAGUGGUUUGACGAGCAAAAGAGGUUUUAUCAGCAGCCUUGACUGACUUGACACCAUUGCAGCACGCUGGUGGUGUUGGAAAAUCGAAAAUAAAUCAAUAAACCCUAGUGCGGAAUAACCCAAGAUCUAGAAGAAAUAAGUAAUGAUAAUAAGAUAAACGAAACCAAUACACAAGAUAUACGUGGUGGAACCCUCACGGGGAAUAAACCACCACAAGCAAAACAAAUAACUUUAUUAUCUUCCACCAAAAGGAUUACAAGAUGAGAUCUCACACAACUCACUCUCACACCCUUUACAAGAAGAACACAAACCUAGAAAUUCCCUAAUAAAUAUUGCUCCCAAGUUUCACAAGCCUCCAAACCUUAAAUCUUCAAGUCUUGAAUCUCUCAAAACUCCCUUAGACUUUUGUUUAAUGUGGCUUCUCCAACUCUUCCUCUUCUUUUAAAAUCUCUCUCAAGAAGACCUUAUAUUUAUAGCCUUUAGGGUGUACAAAACACAUUCCUAAUAGGAAUACCAAACCUAAUCAAAUUGAAAAUCCUAUUCCAAUACCAAAUUCUAAAUCCUUAAUAUAGACUUAGAAAUCCAAAUAUGAAACGGAUUCCUUAGAGAACCGGUUUCCAACAGGUGGAACAUUUCCGCCCAAGCGAAGGUAGUUCAGGCAAGGAGUGAGACCGGUCACCACUUGACCACAACUUAGGGCUUCAUCUGCAUACUAGUAUGGUGCAGUAACCACCCUGCAUGCCACUACCACCAAUGCUGCAACCUUUAGUGCUACUACAUACUGAGUUUGCCAUUGUUAAUUCUAGCUACUUCUCUCUUGCUUAAAUUGAUGCUAGUUGUAUAUGUUGGGAAAAUCGAUAAUAAAUCAAUAACCCAAAGUGCGGAAUAAUCCAAGAUCAAGAAGAAACAAAUAAUGAUAAUAAUAAAAAAAAAAAAACCAAUACACAAGAUAUACGUGGUGGAACCCUCACGGGGAAUAAACCACCACAAACAAAACAAGAAACUUUAUUAUCUUCCACCAAAAAAUUACAAGAUGAGAUCUCACACAACUCAACCUCACACCCUUUACAAGAAGAACACAAACCUAGAAAUCCCCCAUAAAGAUUGCUCCCAAGUUUUCACCAAAGCCUCUCAAGCCUCAAAUCUCAAAGUUUUGAAUCUCUCAAAACUCCUUUAGACUAGUGCUUCUUGUGGCUUCCAAAACUUAAUUAAGCUUACAUGCAUCAUUGACUUUAUGGGUACAACUUACAACAAACUUAGGGUUUGCCACGAAAUUGGGCCUAAAUUGGGCCCAUGACUGUUGCAAAAAUCUGUUGCCCAGUUUGCUGCUACUACUAGGUUUGUUGUCUACCAAAACUUCAAGGACGAUUUCCCAACUGCAUACUGAGAAAUAGAAAUCAUGCAAUAUGCUGUUAGAAAGACAGACGAGUCUACUUUCUAACCCAACAAACAUAUCAUGAUUCCAAAUAUUGAGCACGAAGUUAUGUCUAUUUUACUACAAUGUGUCAAAACUGAACAUAACAAAAAACUGAACAACUGUAUAUAUGUCAAGUGGUGCUAAAUUACUUGUGAAAAGAGUAAAGAGAGAGUAGCGGUUUAUAUAGAGGGGAGAGUGAAGGUGCAAAUUUUGAGUGAUGGUAGUAGGUUGUUGGGAUUUUAAUUAGCACUGGGACACAAUAAUUUUGUUAGAAAAUUGUUAUUCCAACCCAAGUAUAUAUGUAAACAUGCAUUAUUAGGACAAAUACUGGUAUUAGCUUGAGACCUAAAUAUGAUAGUUUCUGGCCUAGCCAUGGCAAAUCCAGCACAAAUAUGCAGCAAGGUUCGAUCAUUCUAGCUAGGGUUUAAUUUUUUUGUUAUUUAACCAAAAAAAUUAAAAAAUUAAUCAUUCAACUGUGUCGGCAGUACAGUUAAAAUUGCAAAAUAAAUGUAUGCCUUUGGUCUUGUUAUCUCCAACCAUUAUGUACGGAUAAGUUUUUUUUCACUGUUACCCUUGCAAAAUCGAUCUAUCAUAUCCGUACUAUACAUGUGUAUAAUGUAUGGAGAAGAAAGGAACCCUUGUGAUUAAAACACAGUACAAUAGCAACACUUGAACAACUAUAUAUAUAUAUAUAUAUAUAUAUAUAUAUAUACCAAGAUUAAUUACAAGAUUAAUUACAAGAUCAUAUAUAUUGUAUUAAUUUUGUUUAGUUGGUUGUUGGAUUUAUUAACUUGGUUUAAAGUUAAACAUCACUGUACUCAUAAUCAAAUGUUCUUUCCUUUGCAACUACUUAAUUGGUUAUACUUAUGAUUCAUGUUUGAUCAUGGGACAUGCAUUCUAGCUUCUAAUAUGUGUCCCAACUACUUUGCAACACGUACACGGUUUGGUACAUAAUAUGUGUCCCAAGAUUUACAUAAUUAAUCUGGUUUCUUUUUCCAUUGAAUUAGAAAGGCCGAAGGGGCGAAGGGCGAAGGCUACCCUGCAACAUCAAGGUCCAAAUGACUUCUGUUCAAAAGAACCAAUAUCCUGAUUUCAAAUCUCAAUGCCUGAAGACAAGUACAUGGAUAGCACGAUCCAAGGAUUACUCCAGGCCAUGCAUGAUCAGAUCGAUCAUAUAUUCUUCUGUUAAGUUCUGUUCGAUUUAUCCAAAUUAUUGAACCCAUGUCCAAUUUUACACACAAUACUACACUACAUUAUUAGAUUUUGAAGAUGCUCAAUGUUAGCUAUAUGGUGAGAGUUGGUGACCCUCUUUGAGCACGAUUUUGUUAUGGUUUUAACUAAGAAGGGAAAAAAAAAAUCUAAGGAGAACAACACCAAUGAACUUUAUUAGUAGAAUGAUGCUGACUACUUUCUCAAGAUUUGAUUUAGAAUUAAUGAUCUAGAGAAAUGAAAGAAGACUGUGUAUUGCAAGUUUUUAAUAGUUUUGACUCAAUGCAACUGCAAGCAUUAUUAUUCCUUGCCCAAUUAUCUAUUAUACAUAUGAACUAUGAAGUUAACCAUAUAAUGAUAUAAAACAAUUAGUUGACAAAAAUGUAGAGCAAAAUAUAUAGGAGCAGAUCAAGUUAUUAUAUACUGUAUCAUUAUAUUGAUGAUCAAAUCAAAGUUCAGAUUACAUUCAAAAGCAAAAACACCACCACCACACACAGACACCGGAAUGAGGUCUGGGGAUCCGUAAAUGUCACACAAACAUGACACAGUGAUCACCGCAACAUACCCUCUCCUUUCAUUUAUUCACACAUAUACUUAAACCCUACACAUAUAUAUAGAAUGCCUUGCUCCUCGUCUCAAACCCUCAACGUGUAUUCAUCCCCCUUACCUCACCCUGCACCACAAGAACAAAACAAUCAAUUCAGUAUUUUUGGCCUGUAUGGUUGCACCACUGCAACCCUACAAAUAGUUUGUCCAAGAUAGGGAAAAUUAAAAGUGCAAAAACUGAUAAAGGGUUUUUAAUUAGCUUACUUGGAGCAGUCGACAGAUGGGCUAAUAGGGUAACCAAUGCUAACACCACAUUUGCCAGGGAGACCAUUGGCAAGUCCUGGGUUGACUUUAAAUGAAUUAGCAGCUGACUUGAUGCAUCCACAAGCAGUUUGGCGGUCAGGAGUAGUCUUAGCAGCACCGUUGAGUGCACGGACUCCAGCACAGCAUGCGGGUGGAAGAGGGCCAGCACCUUGAAGAUACUUAAUACAGGGUGACAAUUUAUUCACCACUUGACCACAGCUUAUAGCACCUUGUGCUGCAUAUGGUGCAGUGACCAACAUGAAUGCUACUAGAACCAAUGCAACUUUGAAGACAACUGAAUUGGCCAUUUGUUUCUUUUGGGGGGUAUUGUAUGUAUAUCACUAUAUAUGUAUGUGAUAAGAAGAGAAGAUGAGAGAUUGUGAUGAGUUUACUUGGAGAUAGAAGGUAAGAGGCAGUGAGGUUUAUAUAGAGUGAAUGUUUUGUCCUUGUGUGCAGACAAGACAUAUGGGUGAUAGUUGGGAUAUUUAAAUGCCUUUGAAAUUUUGGUACCUAUUAAAGGUCGAUCUGGGACUCUGAAGUCUGACCUACACCAAUACAAUUUGCCAAGUGUCUGGUAAAUGAAAUUGGAAUAAUUUCGAAAAGAAAACAUAUGGACAAAAUAAUGAAGGCAUAUAUCAUGGGUACGUAUUCUCUUGUAUUGUUUUGUACCCAUACUUGUAUUAGUUUGGGAUACUUUUGAGUAUCCAAUUCAUGGAGUCCGUGACCUUUAUUUGGCUCAUUGCAGAUUAGUUUGAAUCAUAGUUGGUGUCCGACUGUCAAAAUGUCAUGUAUGUAAUUCAAUGGAAACAAAUUAAAGAAAUUUGUCAUGUAUGUAGUUCUAAAAGUUUUUUCUUAUGUUAAAAUCACUUCAUUAUUUGAAUUCACGUCAAAUUUCUUAUUUUUUUGACUAUGACGUUUUUUCACGAGAUAUAAGCUAUAUGUUCCUGUUCGCCCUUGCAAUAACGUUAGAAGAAAUUUUAGCCUUUUCAAAUACUUAUUGUCUAUAUUUAUCAAAGAAUGCAACAAGACGUUUAACUUAAUCUAUAGCAAUGUCAAUAGGCAUAUUAUGAAUUGUAGAGUCUUACUACCUAAAUUAACAUUAAAUAAUAUUCCGUACCAUAUAAUCAUACCAAGUAGAAAUUCAUACUUUUUCAUACUAUGUAUUGCUAAACGACCUCAAUUUUUGUUUAGGAUUCUCACUAGUUUUAACCAACUUUAAUAACACAUCUCUAAUUUGUGGGGCUUGAAAUCUUAUUGCUUUGACACUUUAAUUUCAAUCAUGCUCUCCUAUUAUGUUGCCGAUAAAUGUUUAACGGUAAAAUAAGUUACACGAUCUCUUAGAAUAUACUACUGUUUUGUUGAAGAAGAAAAAUAAUUUAUAAUUACGUUAUAUUAUCUCAAAAAAUGAAAUGACAUCUGAACAAGAAUUUGUCAUAUCGCAUAUUACUAAGUUUAAGGUAUGACAUAUUGACAUCCACAUGGGAGUAUAAAAUGCUCUACGAUUUAAAUCUAAUAAUCUUUCUUGCACACCUUGGUUUUUACUUUCCAUGUUUGACCCAUUAUCAUAUCCUUGUCCUCUAAUAUCAUUAUAAUCAAGUUUAUGAUGUUUUAAAAUAUUUAAAAUUCUUCCGAAUGUAUCAUCGACUUUUAGAAACUCCAAAAAAUAUUCUUCAAUUUCAAUUGGAGUUGAUGAAAUAUUAACACAUCGUAGUAUGAUUGUCAUUUGUUCUUGAUGACUUAUAUCGGGUGUACAAUAUAAUCAAGUUAACUAAAAAAUAUUUUGCUUCUUUAAUUUUUGCAAUUAUUUUAUUUCUAACUUCAUGUGCAAAUAUUUGAAUCAAUUCAUUUUGAAUUCGAAUAUUAUGCCCAAGAUAAUGAGUUGAAAUUUCACCAUGUUUUGCUUGUCUAACGUAUUCUUCCUUUAUGAGAGUAAUUAUUUCAAUUAAAUCCAAGAACUUUUCAUUAUUAUCUUCAUAAAGAUUCUCUUUUCAUUCACGAAAAGCCAAUUUUUUUUGUUAAGUUGUUUUUUACUAUCAUUAUUAGUUUGUUUUUUUUAACAAUCUUAUGCUUUGUUAAGUUGUUUUUUACUAUCAUUAUUAGUUUGUUUUUUUUUAACAAUCUUAUGCUUAACUGUAUCCUAAGAUUAAUGCUAUUGAUAUGUUCAUUUGUUGUUUCAUGACUUCUUAUUUUAGAACAAUAUUUUUCCAAUUCUUAGAUGUAUCCUUGUUAAGUUGACAAUUGAGUUUAGAGUUAAGUAACUUGAAACAAAAAGAAAAUACCUUGUCAUAAUGUUUUGAAUAUACCAACCAAUUUCGAUCAUUUUUUUCUCCAUUUGGUGCUUUGCGAAUUGCGAGUAUAAAAUGAUUUUGAAAACUUUCUGUUAUACUUUGAUUUUUUUUCUUCUUGUAUUGGACAUUUUUUAACUAUUAGAUCUCUUUUCUUUAUAUCAAUAUUGUCUUACUUUCCCGGAUCAUAUAGACUUUCUAUGUCAUUUGUUUCAACCAGAUUUCACAUCAAUGUGAUGUAAAAUCAUGAACAACCCCUAAUGUUAUGAUGUAAGGUAUUGGAGAAGAUGAAGAUGAAGGAAUAGGGUUUUGGUAAUUGAUUAUGGCUGCACUAAGUUGUUUUUUGGUUGCCUACGUAUCCAUGAGAGAGAUGGAAUCAAGCUUUUAUAACGUACUUCAAUUGUAGAGUUUGAUUAGGAUUAAGAGUUGUAGAGAUAUUGGAGUUGUGUUGAAUUAAGUUAAGAAAAUCUCUACAAAGAUGUAGAUUUACCAUAUUAACCUUAUUGAAUUGAUGGACUUAAAUAAAAAAGGCCCAUGAUUUAUAUUGCAUGUAGUAAUGGGUUUGAGCCCUUAUUGAGUUUGAAUCGGGCUUUGACCUAUAGUUAAUGUGGGUUUGAGCCCGUUAGAAAUAACGGAGUUCUAACAAAAUAAAAAGUAAUGCACUAAGUCUAUUCCAAAUUUACAUAAAAAUAAACGAGUUGAAAAUAACAAAAUAAAAGUAAAGUGACACAUGAUUUUACGUGGUUCGACAAUGGUGCCUACGUCCAAGGAGAGAUGAAUGAUUUAUUAUUGACAUGAGGUGAGGUGAGAUGAGAGAAGAGAGCUUGAGAAGAGCUAGAGAGCUUGUCCAUUUUACAUGAAAUAGAUCCCUUUAUAUAGAUAGGGAAUUACAAUUGAACACAUGUGUGAUAUAAAUCACAUUGAUAUUGUAACGGAAAAUAACGGACAAAGAAAUAAUGGAGAAUAUUUGAUCUUGAUCUUGUAAUUGUUGGCAUUAAUCUGCAUUGCCACGUAAGCGCCACACGAGCUCAUGAGUCAUCGAGUUGGGCCAAGUUGGAGUAUGACUUGUACUGCAUGUCGGGCGUGCCAAGUCGUUCGAAAUAGACUUGAGCUCGAGUGAGCUCGAUGAAAAUAAGUUUGAUGUCAAUGUAGCUCGAUAUGUAUAUACAUACACAUAGCCCCCUCUUAUUAAGUUGACCGAAAUUAGUCAGCUUGAUAAGAAGUAGAUAAUGGUUUUUGAGAAUGAUUGACAUUGUUGAAAAGGAUUUGGAAUUCUAGUUAAAAAAUUUCAUAUACAUUUGAAAUCUCAACCAAACCGUGAUUUUGUAAGCGUUUGCUUCUGUGAGCGUUUGUUUUUGAAUUGAGUCUGAAUGUCGUGUCAUGAUGACAAUAUUGACAUUGGAUAGUGCCAUUGAGGUCAUAUGAGUUGAUUUGAUGUGAUACUUCUAUGCACAUGAAAGAUCUAACCUUUAUUCCAAAUUCCUUUGAAAAGCUUUGAAAUUUGGUUUGAAGUAUAAAAACAAAGGUCGGUAUGAAUUUUUAGGAAAAUUGGCUCAUAUGAUAGGGAUGAAAAUCAAUGUUCAAAAUCUUCAUCCUCGAGCUUAACAUUUCCUGAAACUUGAAUAAAUUGUUAGUAUUUGAGGGGUUGAAGUUAGCCCCCAGUCUUAUAUAAAAUAAUAAUAUGAAUUAACAUAUAAUAUACUCAAAAUUUAAUUGAUGUAUAUAUACGAGUGACAAAAGUCAACAAAAUAUUUACCAAAGACGUUUUGGAUUAUCUAAUUGAUAAUUUAGGAAUAUUGAGAGAUGCAACAAUGUGGUAAAAGAAUAAGAGUGAUGAUAAUAAUAAAAUAAAUUUUGAGUAGGCACACUUCUGGUCAAAUAAACACAUCUGUUGUCGUCUCGAUGUAGGUCGUGGAUAUAUGAAUUCGACCUAUUAGAGGUAGUCAGUAUAGGUUGACAACAAUAUAAACUUGUUAAGUGUAAUAACAACAAUGACCAAUAAUAGAGAGGUGUUACGUAUGUACAGUGGAAACACAUGCAGUAAGACUAUCUUAUUAUGGCUUGAGUUAAAGGCAGUGUAUGAAGGACUGAAGAUAUGUAAGGAAAUGAGACUGAAGAGGAUAAAUAUAAUAUUGAUGUGGAUUCUUUGAAUGCAGUUCAGUGCAUUAAGGGUAGACAGAAGCCUCCUUGGUAUCUUAGAGAAAUUGUAGCAACCAUUCAGGAAAUUUGUUCAGAGUUGGAACAAUGUCAGUGUAACCAUGUGUUCAGAGAAACAAAUGAAGCUGCAGAUUAUCUUGCAGGGCUACAAGGCCCACCGGGAACUUCUAUCUUCUUUAUGCCAUUGGAUGACAAGCUAGAUCAAAUUGUGCAAAAAGAUAAAAAUAGGAUUGUAAGGAUUAGAAAUAUGUAGAGAGAAACUGAGUGUUGAAAAACUAUGUAAAGAGGGAAGGCAGUCUGUUAUUAAGACUUUAGCCUGAGUGACUACUGUAAUUUUCUUACCAAUAUUAAUAUAAAAAAAAAAAAACCGCUUGCUUUUGCCAAAAAAAAAACAAAACAAGGACCAAUAAUUCUAUAUAUAUUAACCAAUAUAAUUGCAAGAAGACCAGUACGUAUCUCAUAUGUUGUGGUAAUUGAAAUGAUGAACAAUGGUCAAUUUUAUUGGAGAAAUCAUGAAUAAUUUUCACUACAACAGAAUAUGUGUAAUAAACGUAUGGUAAUGAUAUAGCAGUUAUAUGUGCACUUGUAUAUGUAGAUAAAUAAGAUUCGCAUGGAAAAUAACAAUGUAACUGAAUGUAAUAUUAGGGAUUUGAUAGCAAAUAAAUGGAAAGAGAAUGAAUAAUGAAACUUAGCUCCAUCAUAUCAGGAAUACAGUAUAUAGGGAUGUGGAUUUCCGACCAUUGAGAAGAUGACAAUAGUGUUUCCAUUGGUUAGCCCCCAAUUGUAAAUUCUAAUAUUAUCAAUUAGAAUUCAAAUAUGUACUUAUAUAAUUGUUAAAAAUAAAAAUUAUAUAAACAUUAAUUAAAAUGGGAAACCACUUAUUUUGUACUUUGAGCUGGAAUUUCAAACAUAUUAAUUUAUUGAUGAUGAACGUGAAACUUUGUCCACGCUUCAAGGUUGAUGUUCGAUCACAAACAGUCGGCGCCAAUGUAAAUACAUAAAAAUAAACGAGUUGGAAAUAACAAAAUAAAAGUAAAGUGACACAUGAUUUUACGUGGUUCGACAAUGGUGCCUACGUCCACGAAAAGAUGAAUGAUUUAUUAUUGAUAUGAGGUGAGUAGAGAUGAGAGAAGAGAGCUUCAGAGAAGCUAGAGAGCUUGUCCCUUUUACAUGAUAGGGAAUUACCAUUAAACACAUGUGUGAUAUAAAUCACAUUGAUAUUGUAACGGAAAAUAACGGACAAAUAAUAAUGGAGAAUAUUCGAUCUUGAUCUUGUAAUUGUUGGCAUUAACUUGCAUUGCCACGUAAGCACCACACGAGCUCAUGAGUCAUCGAGUUGGGCCAAGUUGGAGUAUGACUUAUACUGCAUGUCAGGCGGGCCAAGUCGUUCAAAAUAGACUUGAGCUUGGGUGAGCUCGAUAAAAAUAAGUUUGACGUCGAUGUAGCUCGAUAUGUAUAUACAUACACAUAUAUUAUUGGUAGUAUUAAUUGGAAUAUUUUGAUUUUUUAUCACGGAUGCAUAGCUCCUCUUUGAGAUUCAAUUGAAGCAUAUGUUGGUUUGUGUUUUUAAUAGAUAAAAAAAAAAUCGUAAUUCAUAUUUUUAAGUAAACAUAAUGAGAGAAUAAAGAAUAGAAGAUACAAAUAAAUAUAUCAAUAAAAUUGAGAGAAGACAUUUGUAAUUUUAUUUGCAACCCAAACACAAUCCAAGUAUCCCACCACAAAAGCAAAUAAUCUAUUGAAGAUGAAUUGUCAAUUUCUUUCGAAUUGCAGUUGUAUAAUGAUUUUAGGAGAAUAAAAAGAAAAGAGAAUUUGUACAGUAGAACCGCUUUAAUUAAUACUUUGUAAGUUAAUAAUCUCCCUUGGAUAAUAAAAUUCUUCGAUCCCGACUUGGGACCUAUAUGCUAAAUUAAUAAUUUAGACAAAAUUAUGAGAUAAUAUAUUUCAAAUAUUUCUAUGUAACACAGUGAUCCUUUCAUUUACUUACACGUAUCUAUUAUACUCUAUUAAAACAGAAAAUACCCCUAAGAAAAUAUAUCUUCAAUUAGGCUAUCAAUUAGAUUGAAAUUGAUAGCCUAAUUGAAGAGAAUUUUGAUUAAGUUUGGGUAUAUUUGUAAUUACGCAAAAGUGGACCACCAUCACAGAUAUAAUCAAAUCCAAUUCGACCAAAUCAUGGGCAUAAUUAAACCCAAUAAAAAAAAUUAAAAGUAUACCCAAUCCCAAGUAUAAUCAAGUCUAGCCCGUACCCAGUUGGACCAAAUCAUAAGCAUAAUUAAGCCCAGUAAAAAAAAUGAAAAGUAUACCCAAUCCCAAGUAUAAUCAAGUCCAGCCCGUACCCCUAAAAAAAUACAGUAAAACCUCGAUAAAUCAAUAACCUUAGGACUAGAGAAAAUUAUUAAUUGAAUGCGAUAUUAAUUCAUUGAUUAAUUAAUAAACUAUUAAUUUAUAUAAUUAACAGUAUAUUUGUAUGUAUAUCUUUCUUUUUGGGGGCUAACAUGAUGAAGCUGGACAAUCAUUUUAUUCUAGAACCCGUUCCACGAAAAGAAGCACUAAAAUUGAUAAUGAUAUUGGAAUAAUUUCUUCUUGCAAUACAAAAUACAACACUAGAUCAACUUAUCACACUACAAAAAUUUAGGGGCGGAUCCAGAGGGGGGGUUGUGGGGGCUCAAGCCCCCGCUGAGUUCUCAAAAUUUUCUAUGUAAAUAGCUAUAAUGCUAUACAUAAUACAUGCACAUUAGAAGUUAAUGUUAAAUAGAGCCCACCCAUCUAGAUUUUUGAAUUUAUAUUGUGAUUCUCUGUAUAUAUGGGUAUAGAUUUAUUUGACAUGUGGCGUGACCAUUUCCUAUUAAACUAAAAUAUCAAUAAAUCAGACUAUUUAUUACAACAACAGAGAAAAAACAUUAUUAUCUAAUGAAAAAUUACUUUGAUACACUAGUGUAUCAUUUAGAAUGUGGAUUUAUAAUGUAUCAUAAAUCAAUUUUGUGAAUUUAUAGGAGUUAUGUUGAAUUCCUGGUAUUGAUUUAAUUUAGAAAAACACAUAUCUUAGAAAUUUAUUUAGAAAAAAAUUACUCCCUCUGUCCCAUUUUGAUAGGUCAGGUUUAUAUUGAAAUUACUAGAUGAUUUACUACGUUUGUACAACUUCUCCAUCUUCCUCUUCACUCAAAGUUUAUGUCUGCUUAUAUGCUUAUAUUUGAUCCAUGUAUAUUCGAUGUUUGUUGAAGAUCUCUCGACGACACAAAAAUCAAAACUCACCAGUAUUCUAAGUCAAAUAGACAGGUAUGCAAGUUUAUUAAUAGUUUGCUAAAUAUUAAUAUGAUAUUAUUGUGGACACACAUAAAAAAUGUUUGUGAUGACCAUUUACAAGUACAUUCUCAACUUGACAAAAAGUAUAUUUUGCAGGAAUAUGGAGAACCAGUAAUCUAUUUCCUUUCCUUACACUUAGUAGAUAUUGACAAAAAGUAAAUGAAAAUAGAAAAUAGAAAAUAGACUCCAAUAAAGAAGAUAUAAUUUUUAAUACAUUUCAAUUGUGGGGAUAUGGAAGGGGACUCAAGUAGCAGUAAGACUUACUUACUGCAAUUUCAUGAAAUUUGAGUUUCCUUUAAUUUGUGAUCUAAUGUAUGUAAAUGUGUUGCAGAUGGGACUAUAUCAAAAAAGGUCGCAAAACUCACACAGACAUGGAUCGUAUGGUUACCUUCCAGAAAGCCUUAACUACAUGGGCCUAAGGGAUGUCUCUGUCACAUUACAAGUAAAUCAUCUUUAUCAUCAUAAUAGUUUGCUAAAUAUUUCGAAUUUUCAAGAUGUUAACUGCUACAAGCCAAUUAAGAGACGCUCGACUGCUAAUGGACUACUGUGAAAAGAUUGUUUCCCAAAGUGAUGAAGCCUCAACAAUCGAGAGUCAGACCAAAUUCUAAUUGAGACUUUGAGAAUUAAGAGUGCUGCAAAAUCCCACUCUCCUGGAUAUCUUCAACUACAUUGGGUUUAAUUUCCAUGUAUAUAUAAUAAUCAUUCAAUUUCUAUACUCAAAAGAUUUAUAAUAAUUCUAAAUGAAAUCAUACUAGAUCAUAGACUUUUGAAACGGGCUAAACAAAAUAUUACAAGUUACAAACCAAAAGCAACAUAAACCCCCCCCCCAAAAAAAAAAUCUAAAACAAUCAGAAUGCACGGGCCUAAGGACUAGUAUAUAUAGAAAGCCCUGCUCCUCGGUGCAACGUGUAUUCAUCCACCUUACCUCACCCUACAAACACGAACAAAAAAAGAACAAACAACCAAUUCAAUAUUUUUUUGGCCUGGAUGGGUUGCAUCACUGCAAUCCUACAAAUAAGGGAAAAAAUGAUAAAGGGGUCUUAAUUAGCUUACUUGGAGCAGUCGACAGAGGCACUAAUAAUGAAACCAAUGCUAACAUCACAUUUGCCAGGGAGACCACUGGCAAGUGCUGGUUGGACUUUAUAAGAAGUAGCAGCUGACUUGAGGCAUCCACAAGCAGCUUGGCGGUCAGGAGUUGUCCUAGCAGCAUUGUUGAGUGAACGGACUCCAUUACAGCAUGCGGGUGGAAGAGGGCUAGAACCGUACACUAAGAUAGUUAAUACAGGGUCUCAAAGUACGCACCUUCUGCUGGAUAUGGUGCAGUCACCAACAUGCAUGCUACUAGCACCAAUAUAAUGCAACUUUAACGACAACUGAAUUGGCCAUUUGUUUCUUUGGGGGUAUGGUAUAUGUAUGUGAUAAGAAAAGAUGUGAGAUUGUGAGUUGCUUGGAGAAAAAGAAGGAAGAGAUUGUGAGGUUUAUAUAGAGAAGACCACAUAUGGGUGAUGGUUGGGAUAUUUAUUUAAAUGCUUUGAAAUUUUGGUACCUAUUAAUUUGCCAAGUGCCUGCUAUUUGGAAUUAGAAUAAUAUAGAAAAGAAAAAAUCAAAUGGACAAAAUAAUGAAGGCAUGGGUACGUACUCUCUUGUAUUGUUGUACCCAUACUUAGUUUAAAUCAUAGUUGGUGUCCGAGAGUCAAAAUGUCAUGUAGGUAUAUUGAUAUUGAGGCCCUGCUUGGUUACCCCGCAAAAAUUUGCAUGAAAUUUAGCCUAAUUUAAUAUGCUUGAAACUCUUGAUAAUUAGUUUUAUGAACAAAAUUUAUGCAAAAGUUUGAUGCUAUUUCAAAAGUGCAAAAAUUUUACACCUUUCUCUAAUAAACUUACUAGAGGACCAUUUAUGAUUAUCUCAUGUUUAUGCAAGGUUUAAGUGGGGGACCAAUAGGGUUUAAGCUAAAAUAGGUGGGGGUCCAUUCAAAUCAAAGAGUAAACUUGGGAGGGACCACUCUAACUAUAGAUGGGUAAAGAUUUGCCUUUUUUGCAGCCCAAACAAGCAGGGCCUCAAUUUAGAAAAAUUACAUAAAUUUACUGAAUAUCUGUAAAAUUUUAUCGAUUUUUUAUUUAUCUAUGCUUUGAAUGUGGAACCAAAGCUGUAAUAUAGUUCACAUCAUAUAGUUUAAAAUAUCGCGUAUUUGACAUGGGAAUUUUCUCAAAAUUUUAAGAAUAGACAUUCUCAUACCAUUUGAGGACCUGCUACUGAGCUAGGAAUCUUGGCGUACUGCAAUUUUUUUUAAAAUUGGCAUGUUGCUUGAAUUCGGAAUUUUAUUCUACUAAAUAGUGCACAUAAUGUCCUUAAAUUUACGCUUCUUUUGUCUAUUAUGAUGUGUGUUACGUACACCACCACCGACAGUAGAGUAGUAGUAGACCUGAUUUGGCAGACACCUGACAGUCGGUGGAGGCAAAUCUCAAAUGCAUAAGGCCUGUAUACCAGUAGGUCGAGCCAAGUUUAGUACUUAGUAGUUACUAGUUAGUACAAUACCAUGGCCGGCCUUUAAUGUUUAAGGAACAAAACCAUUGGACUCAUUUGUCAUAGAAAGCCCGUUUUAUAACUUCUCUGAUGACUGAGUGACUGAUAAGUUUUGAUUUUUUUCAAAAACCAUUCUAGUUGGAUUAUUUAUGUUUAACCAAGCCGAGGAAAUAAUACUUUGAUAGUGGUCUUGUUAGAUGCCAUUGGUUCCAAUUACUGUAGCCUUUUAACUAACAUAUGAGAUGGAAUUUUACUUACCAAUGGUAGUGAAUUAUAUUGGUGACGAAGAAAGUUGAAAUUCUUAAGAAAAACUAACAUUGUUGGUAAGAUCAUUGUAAUAGAAAGGCUUGUUUUAAUUUGGAAAUUUAAACAUUGUAAAAAGCUAACAACAAAACAUAUAUAUAUAGGUCAUAGGAGCAGAUCAAGUAACUCAUAUAUUGAUAUUCAAAAUAGAGCAAGUUCACAUAUGCAUUACAUCCAAAAUAACCACCAGCAAAUAAAAAAAGCACUACCACCAUCACACCAAACACACUGGAAUGAGGUCUGGGGAUUCGUUACUGUCACAUACACAACAUGCUGACACAACGUACAAAAGUGAUCACCACAACAUACCCUCUGGCCUCUCCUUUAUUCACACAACAAACACACAUUAUCUAAUUAUUAUUACGUACUAAAACUAAAGUACCCUAAAUCCUGGAUUAAAAAGCCCAUGCUCCUCAGCUCCACAUCUGCAUGUAUUCAUCCACCUUACCUCACCCUGCACCACAAGUCACAACAACAAAACCAAGCAAUUAAUUCAGUAUUAUAUAUACAACUCCAUACAAUUAAUGGAGGGAAAAUAAAUAUAUGAAAAUGCUGGUUGUUACUUGGAGCAAUCGACGGAGGCACUAAUGGGAUAACCGAUGUUAACACCACAUUUGCCAGGGAGAGCACUGGCGAAUUGUUGUUUGAUCCCCUGAGCGUUGGCAGCAGCUGACUUGAGACAUCCACAAGCAAUUUUGCGAUCAGGAGUAGUCUUAGCAGCACUGUUGAGUGCAACGACUCCACGGCAGCAUGGGGGUGGAAUAGCACCACCAGACGUAAGGUAAUUAAGACAAGGUGUCAAAUUAGUCACCACUUGACCACAGGUUAUAGCACCUUGUGCUGCAUAUGGUGCAGUCACCAACAUGCAUGCUACUACCACCAAUGCAACCUUGAAGGCUACUGAGUUGGCCAUUUGUUUCAAAGAAAGCUUUAAGGGUCUUAGUUGUUGUUGCUUUGGGGGUGUAUGUAUGUGAUAGAUGAGAAGAGAUUGUGAGUUACUUGGUGAAUAGAUGAAGAGGUACUGAGGGUUUAUAUAGAGAGAGUAGUAGAGACUAGAGAGUGAAUGCUUUGUCCUUGAUGUGCAGAUAAGCAGACUGAUGGGUGGUGGUUGGGAUUUUAAAUGCUUUGAAUUGGGUUAGAUAAAUUUUAGUAGUACCAAGGGUCACUUUUCAUCUGUACUCAUCUAGUAAUACUGUACACAAUUAUUUGCCAACUCCUUAUUCAAGUUACAUACUCAUUUGUUUCCAUAAACCUACUUACCUACAAGGCUACAAUAGUUUGGAACUUUAGAUACUUGAGGGGGCAGUGAAUUCAUGUCACAUACCCACACACAUGUUAUGGUCGUAAUGGUAGUAUGGUACACAUUUGCAUGCCAUGACCUUUGUUUGGUGAGGUAGCUUAGACAAUAUAACACUCUUCUCAAAUUGCAUGUUCACUAAAAUAAAUACUAACUUCAUUUCCAAUAGCUGUUUCUUUAAUUUGGUGAGUUUGUAUUAAUUCAACCAACAUUUUAGUAUUUUACCAUAGAAUGGUUAGAAAUGGUAUUGACUAAGAUCAAUUCAGGUGAUGGUGUGAUGAGGGCAGCAGGAGUGGUGGAGACUGGAGAGAAAUAGGGAAGUGAACAAGGUUAGGUACCUACCUUCGGACCUGAGAGUAAUGAUGUGUGUAUAUGUGUCAGGCAUCUCGUUGCUUAGGUGAGGGGUCACAUCCUUGCUCAGAUCAGGCAUCUCGUUGCUUAGGUGAGGGGUCACAUCCUUGCUCAGAUCACUCCCACUGACUAACUAGGCACACUAACCAAGAAAUAUAGAGUGCUAGCUUGGUUCAUAGCAGCAUUGAAUGAACGUUUGCAGGUUGGUUAAUUGUCAUAUACUGUAUGUGUGAAGUGUGAACGUAAGCAUAAAGACAAGGAUGGAGAAGAUCAGAAGAGAAACGUUGAAGAGUGAGCCCCAUGACAUACCUAUCUUCUAGAGAAAUGAGAGAAUCUAACACCUUCUGGGGAAAAAAAACGUAAUGCUUUAUGGGUCAUUGUACAUUGGUACUGUGUACCAUGGAUGGAUGGAUUAUAUCUACCAGCUUAUAUGUUCCCUUCAUUGGUAGCAAUAGCAUGCCUCCCUUGUGAUAAUUAUCUGAACCAUAGGUGAAAUUCACGGAUAUCCGACACUCGGAAAAUCGGUAUAUUUCGCGAAUAUUCAGACCCCAGUAUUGGAAUUAAGAGAUUUGGCAAAAUAGUUCUCGCAAAAUAUUGUUGAAUAUUCACGGAUAUUUACAAAAAAUUUAAAAAAUUAUAUUAAAUAAAUGUGGAAAUUAUAUUUAAAAAUAAAUGUGAUAAUUUCAACUUCGAAAAUUUCUUAAUUUUCAAAUAUUUCGCAAAUAUUCGUAAAAAUCCGGUCGACAUAGGGAGGUUUAUGUUUCAUAUGCCGUACCACUCCGAAUUCUCAAAAAACCGGCAAAAUUCGUAAAUAUCCGCCCAAUAUUUUCGAUUUUUUCACCUAUGAUCUGAACACCAAAUCACCAAUGCUGAUAUAUUAUUAUUAACCAAUAAACUCUUGUGUAUUGUUUCCAAUUUCCCAAUGUCCAGACUCCAGAAUAAUGUGAUUUCCUAUUAGAAAUGGAUACAGAAAGAAAUCAUACCACAUUUAUAAACUCAAAACACUGUGAAGUGUAAUCAACUCUCUUGCAUCAAAGUGACCAUGAUGGAACACGACAUACUUGAAAACUACAGAGUACAGACAUCAAGUGAAAACAGGUACACUACAGAAACUACAAUACAAUUCUGUUUCAAUCUGCAAUCACACAUGUUCAUGCACAAUCACUUCUGAAAGAUUAUUUUUAGUAAUAAUAUCUUAUUGCUUAUGGAUAGAGCAAUAUGUCAGAACUAUUUGCAAGAGUGAUAAAACAAUUUGAAGUACUUAUUAAUCCCUUGAUUUCAAAUUUUCAAUCAAAACUGGUCAUUUAAAACCAAGUAUGCUUCAAAAGUUAAUAAAUAUACAACAUAGUGGGUGAGCUUAGGAGUUGUAUUGUGGUGAUGGGAUACAAUCAAAAAUGGCAAUCAAAAAAAUACUGGUUAGGAAAAAAGACCAGCUAAUAUUUAGCUUAUUCAUUUCCGGAACAAAACUUUUCUUAAUCUAUGUCAACACACAAGAAAUGGCUUCAUCCUAGUUACAGCUUUUGCUCAGAGGGAGGGGUUGUGUCAACACAGGUUUCUUCUGGCAAUCUAAAGCUUAUACAAACCAUUACCUGCAAUAUAACUUCACAGGUUAAUUAAAGUAGAGUUGAACAAAAAUAAGUUGGAAGAGACUUUAAUUUCGUCCAUUGCAACUGCAUAAUCCACACAAAUGAAUAGUUCAAAGCUAGUGAAGGUCAAAAUCCAGCUUAGAGGUGAAUAUGAUAGCAUGGAACACCAUACUUCAAAUUAGAAAUCGACAAUCGUUGUUAAAUUAACGUGUACAAACUUAUUUGGAAAAGAGCCACGAAAAAUUGCAUAACUUAAUUAGUGAGUUUUAUAUAAACAAAAGAAAGGAUGCACAUCUUUUGAAGAAUAACCCAAAUUUAUGACACACGACACUAAUAUUCUGGCUCAAGAGACAGGCUUCCAUCGCAAACAUAUAAUAUUACUUUUCCAUGAACCAAAUAAUCAGAGCGAGAAGAUCCACAUUACACCAAGGAAAAUCAAGAAAUCAGUGGUGGAAUUCAGUGAAAAACAUUUCUUAAGAUCUAAGAACCAAUAUAAAAUUGGGUAGUAGGGUGCUUCAUUUACACUAAAAAUGAUUAGAUAAAAGAGAGUGUUAAGUAUGAUACAAUGAUCUAUCUCUUUGUAGUCCCAUAUUGGUAAUGUAAUAGGAAGGUUGUAGGUAUUUAUUUAAGAACAAAAGAAUUCAAAGUUACUUGAGCUAGCCCGUAUGCCCAAUGAACAUAAAAGUUUUUGAGCUAGCUCUUUUGAGUGAGGGUCCUUGCAGGUAGAGUAAUUGGGAGGUCUUGAAAUUUAUGUAUGGCACAAAGAACAUACAAGUAAUUUGAGCCAGCUCUUUUGAGUGAGGGUCCAAGGUAUCACAAAUAUCCAUACCGGUUGAGUAAUUGGGAGGUAUGGGAUAUCAACGUAAGGCCCAAGGGCCAGCAAAAGUAAUUUGAACUAGCCCUUUUGAGUGAGUGGUCAUGUUAUUACAAAUAUACAUGUAAACGAAAUAUAGUAAUAAAAAAAAAUAAUAAAAAAAAAAGUUGCUUGAAAUUGCCCUUUUGUGUUAGCUUGUACCUUGUAUGGAGCAACAAGUCUGACUCUAUGAAAUAUUGGCUCUUUUAUUUUAGCAUUUAAUGCAGAUUCUGCGUCCUGAAACAGAGUUCAAGGGAUGGGUUAAACAUAAGGAUAUGGAAUUAUAAUAUAGAAGAAAGAAAAAAAAUCCAACUAGAAACGGUAACUUAACUACGGAGAUUAGUAUUAUUAUUUUGUUUUUUUUUUUUUUUUUUGUGUGUGUGUGUGGGGUGGGGGGGGGGGGGUCUCCUUUAGUGUUUUCUCUUAUUGAUGUCAAUUAAAACUAAACUUAAAGGCUCCGUUUCUAUUUCCCAUUCAGGGUUACAAGUCUUUUUAACAGUGGAACGGGUUCCCUUCUCAAAACCAAUACAUAAAAUCUAGUUUAGUUUCAGGGGAAAACAAAGGCUUUCUAUAAUGACAAACAAAAACUGCCAACAAUUUUAAAUUGAUCCACCUGGAUAAGAAACAUGAUUUUUUCUCUUUUUGGCACAUUUAAGGUGGGUAGACCUAGGAAACCAUCUCUUAAGUUUCAAAUGUACAUAUACCCAUGGUUCCAUGCACACACACAAAACUAAAAAUGAAGACAAUAGCUAUGUAACCAAAGCCAAAUACUGAGCCGUUGGAAAUGUACAAAAUCUCGUGAAAUCUCGUUGUUGGUUUUCCACAUUUUGUAAAAAAUGCUCCCAAUACAAAAUAGCUGUUUACUCGUUGAUCUAUCAACAAAUGCCAUGACCUAUCAUAAAUCUUAAAAGUAGUAAGAAUUUGUUAUAUGUCAUGCAAAAUUUAAAGUUAGGCCUUGGUUGAAUUGGGGAUUUCUCCAACAGGAUACAGAUUCCCAAAAUUGGGUACAGAUUAAAAGUUUUAGACCUAAUCAAGCUAAAGAAUCAAUUAUCUUUAAGAACACUUCCUAGAUCUAUCCAGAUAUACAUUAAAAACAACCACCUCAGCCCCCACCAACUCCCACCCCAUGCGCACACACACCUUCUCAAAAAUAAUAGAAGCAGAAGACUUAAACCAAAAGUGCUGAGAUACAAAAAAAGAAAAUUCAUAUCAUGCCAUAACACCCGAAGUCUCAACGAUUCAUCUCAUUUUCUGUGGACUCGCAAUUUCAAGAGAACUAAUAUAUAAAAGAAGCAUCUGGAUACAAAACAAUUUAAAAUUAAAACCACCCCAAAAUAGAAUAAUGUUUGAGACUCACUUUUUUUAAUGAGCUUGGUACAGCCAAACUCUACAAAUGUUUAAUCUACAAUAUAUUUCAUCUGGAUUUUCCACCCUAUUAUUGUCUGAGGCUUGCUUAAGGUUAUUGUAUUAUAUUUUAUUAACUGGAAUCGAGAUAAUAACAUGAGCAAUUCUAAGAAAAAGAUUUGUUUCUAUCUAGACGUGAUUAUUUGGUUUAUAAAAUAAUAAAUAAAUUUAUAAACAUGACAAACUUUAGUAACAAGUGUGACAGACUCAUUCAAUUUGCAGAAGAUGAACUUACAGCAAUUAUGGACUCUUCUGUUUGAUCACGCAAUUUCAUGAAGCAAUAGCAAUGUAUCCAAGGUAAGGUUCCCUUCCAGUGUUUUCUGCAGAUAAGACCCCUAAAUACAUCUGUGGAAUGCAUAUCAAUAGUAAUGUCACAACAAAGACAUGCCAACAACUUAAAAAUAAGUUCCCACAACCACAAGUUAUAUACAACUCAACACGAUCAUCACAAGACAAAGCAUAUAGGAAACAACUCUCGACAGGAAACAAGAUAUUAAGAUACACAAAUUGGAUCAUAACAAGUACAACUGUUAUGCAGAUAUUAAAGUUAUCAUGGACUCGGACAUUCAAUUCUUUUUCAUAUUAAUAUUCACAGGCUAAUAACAUAUAAAGAAGGGAUAAAGCCCCUAAUCAAUUUCUCAUCAUGAUGUGGAUUGGCUGGAUCCUAAUUUCCAGCUCACUUAGUAAGAUGCCCAUCAUUAAAAAUUAGAACAAAUGUUCACAUAGCCAUAUAACGAAGGGGGUAGAGGGGCGGGAGAAGAAGAAUCUGAAGUGUGAUGAAUUCCAUUGAUCAGAUUACCACAUUACAUGCAGGAUGCCUUGGUGCAGAAAAACAUAUAUGCAAAGCCACUAGGUCUAGCAUAUUUCAUGUCGCAAAGAUCCACAUAUGUGAAUUAUUGAUGGUAAAAUGUUUUGAAGAUUGUAAGUCGUUCUCUUUGAUACAUAAGAAGUUCAUGCUCAAAAUAAUUCAAGAGACCUUCUGUUAUAAUUUUGCAUGUUUACUCCUCUGUAACCAUUUUGCAUGUUUACUAACUUGAGAUGAAUGCAAUGGGGAUUAGAACUGGACAAGUCUCUUUCACCACGCCGAGUUGAUGUGCUAGUCAGGACGGCUCUCGGAAGGUUAGAAAGAUGGAACUGUUUUCAGUUAUUCGAUGUUAUCUCGCACUUUUUCUUUCUUCUACUCUUAUGUUAAAGAGAGAAUGUUCCUUUUUGUAUCAAAAAUGUCGAGAAAACCAAUGUAUUUUCAUCGGUUCCAUAUUUUCUUCACCUUUUAUGUUGGGGUGGACACGACAACAACGGUUUAUGAUGCCAUUGGCUCUCAGUUUCAUAAACCCACAUUGUUUGAGAAAAAUAAUGUGAGUAAAUAAUUCAAGAAUUUUAUGAAAUGUUGCCAUAGAUACUAAAUUUCCUGAGGAUGAUUUAAUCUUCCAAUCUUAAUAUUGUCUCAGAGGAACAGUUCCUCUCGUUAUCUUCUAAAACACCAAUCAAAUGGUCAAGAAGUUAAUUGUUCAAAUAUUGAUUACAGGAACUACAAACGGGAAGAAAGUAUAAAGACGGCAAUAAUAUCAACGUAACAACCUACACUUACCAAGAAACUGCAAAGCAGAAGCAGGUAAAUUCAUUACCACAUGAUCAACAUGCUCCCAGGUUUUAACACCACUGGGCUUAAUAUCUCUCGUACGCUUGUUUUUGCUUCUUUUUCUCCUAUCUGUAGUACCAGCAUCAGUACCAUCCAGGUUUCUAUAUUCUAUAGAAGACAUGGAAAAGCAAAAUAACACUCUGUCAGCUGAUAAAAGUAACAAAUAGAUACAAAGCAAUAGUGCUCAUUAUACUUCAGUAUUAAUUACGUAACAAUAUAGAAACAUCAGCAACAUUAAUAAUGCUUUCGCAAUAUUGAUCCCCCACAAAUAACAUGUGAAAGCAUCUACAAAUCCUUUUACAAAUCAAUUAAGCAGGAAAACCACCUCAUGUCUCAUAAAUGACAUAACGUAUUGGAAGUAAUAUUUCUAAGCAUUCACUACACCGCAAAGAUUUUCUAUUAUUUAGUUAGACUUCAAGAUAGAGGGAAAAAAAAACUCUAUGCAACAUUCUAGUAAGAUACUAGAGUAAGAGAUACAGACAAGAAAUGAACAUUGCUAGCUCAACUCCCACAAAUCACUCACUCCCAAAUUAGCACAAAGAGGUUAUCCUUGUAUUCUUGCUACUGCUUGCACCAAAGGAACAACACUCCUUUGAUAAUUAUAAUCAACUGCGGGACGUCACGAGAUCUCCCUUUAAAAGUAUUGUAAUAGUAGUGACUUGUCUAACACACUUGUAAUAGUGGUGACUUGUCUAACACACUUGUAAUAGUAGUGACUUGUCUAACACAUUUAUAUAUACAAGUUAAGUCUCACAUUGAGACUAUAACUUUUCACCCUAAUAUUCUACUUCUACUUGGUAUCAGUUGCUUGUAGAAACAAAACCCAGCCAUCAUCAAAACCAAAACCCAAGCCGUCACCACCACCACCACCACCGCUCCCACCACCAUCACCACCUUGCCUCCGGGCAUCUUUCUUCUAUGAGCAGCUGGUAAUCCCUGCUCUUCCUUCGCUGUUUCUGCAGCAGGAAGACAUCCCUGCAGACGGCUUCCCUUGUUGGUAGUCAUCCCUGUUGCUAAGGAUUUCAAUUAGUGUUUGUCUCCCACCUUGACUACCUCCACUGUUUCUGGUGUGUUCCUGGUUUCUGCCACUGUUGCAGUCAUUAUUUUUCUGGUUUCCUUUCAACGGAAAAUCUGCACUCUGACUAUAGUCCUGUUUGGUCCUUGUCUGCACCAAUUUUUGGAGUGAUUUCAUUAUCUUUUUUACUGCUGUUUUGUGGACUGAUUUGCUGUGUUACAACAUUCAUACUGUGAGUAUUUUAUUGUGGACUAUUCUGUGAUAUGACUACAAGUCCAGCUUCCACUGGUUCGUCAUCUACAACCGUUCCUAAGGCUAUGGAAACCGACUCUGGUUUCCCCACCGUUCAGUCUACAUCCAUUCUUCUAAGUGGGCAUAAUUUUUCAUCGUGGUUACGUUCUGUUAGGGAAGAUACCUUUACCACGACCCCAUUGGCCUAUUGGAUGCUCUGUUUGGUUCCUAAGUAAGAGGCCAAAGAAGAGGUCUGGAAAAUCAGGUGGUGGUCAACCUCGUACCGCUGCCAUUUUUGGGGUUCCUAGCAGUUCCACUUCAGGGGGAGUUCCUACUGAUUCAGGUUCUUUGAGUCAGCGGCUAGACGAGGUUCUUUUUUCCCUUCGCAAGGGAGAACCAGGGUCUACUACCAUGCCUACGGCUACAGGUAUGCCUUCUGCUUUCCAUGUUAGUUCUGGUUCUACACCUCCUGCUUGGAUCCUUGAUUCAGGGGCCAAUGAGCAUAUGACUGGUGAGUAUAGUUUAUUGAGUAAGCAUACCCCUUUUUCUCAUCAUGUUCGCAUUGUUGAUGGCUCGUAUAACCCUAUUACUCGUAAGGGCAUUGUUCAUUUGUCUCCUCAGAUUACUUUAGAGUCCGUAUUGCAUGUUCCCAGUUUUGCUCUAAAUCUUUUAUCAGUUAGUCGCCUUGCUAAAGCUCUUCAUUGUGUUGUUGUAUUCUUACCUGAUUCUUGCUAUCUUCAGGAACUGAGUACGAAGCGGAUUUUUGGCAGGGGGUAUGAGCGCGAUGGGUUGUACUAUUUUGGUGAUCCCCCACCGGUUCCACCUUCUAUUGUUUCGAGUCUGUUCGAGUCUGCAUGUUAAAGUCUUGCCCGAGUCUGGCCAUUAUGUGUUUAGUUUGGAGUCUGUGAAAACCUGGCAUGCCCGAUUAGGUCAUGUUAACUUCCAGUAUUUGUGUAGUCUUUUUCCGGAAUUACUGAAAGCAUGCAAAAAUUCUACUUUUCAUUGUGAAAUUUGUUCCCUAUCCAAGCAUGUUAGAAAUUCUUAUACCACGAAUGCAUCGAUCACCUGCUAUGUUUGAUUUAAUUCACUCUGAUGUUUGGGGUCCUUCACCUGUUACUGCAUUAUCAGGCCAUAGGUAUUAUGUUACGUUUAUUGAUGAUUACACUAGGUGCACUUGGGUCUAUUUACUUCGCCAAAAGUCAGAUGUUCUCCCCUUGUUUACACAGUUUCUCCAACUCAUCAAAACUCGGUUUAAUGUAGUGGUUAAAGCUCUUCGCUCAGACAAUGCUAAGGAGUAUGUGUCUAAUGAGUUUGUCAGUCGUCUUAGCCAACAAGGUAUCCUUCAGCAACUCACUUGUCCUUAUACACCUGAACAAAAUGGUGUUGCUGAGAGGAAAAAUAGGAGUCUCAUGGGUGUCGUUCGUUGCUUGUUGAGAGGAAUGCAUGUCCCACAAUCCUAUUGGCAUUUUGUUGUUCUUACCGCUGCCUAUCUUUUAAAUCGCACUCCUAGUAGGAUUCUCCAUGGUCAAACCCCUCACCAACUUGUCUACCCUAGUCGUGUUCUUUUCCCAAUUAUUCCCAGGGUGUUUGGAUGUGUUUGUUAUGUUCAUGAUAAGAGUCCAUCCCGCACUAAACUUGAUGACAAGUCCAUUCGGUGUAUUUUUGUUGGUUACUCUCCCCUUUCUAAGGGAUAUCAAUGUUAUAAUCCCUCUAGUCGUCGUGUUUAUCAUACCUUGGAUGUUACUUUUGCCGAGCAUGUUUCCUUUUUUGGACCUUCUAUCUCUUUGCAGGAAAACUUGUUACCAUCGGAGGAGGAGUCUUCCGCUGUUUGCCCUAUACCUGUCUUUCCUACUCCUCCGGUGGCCCCUAUUCCUAAACUAUACUCGUCGCUCUUGCGCUCAUCCUUACACCUUGCCACCCGCUUCAGGUAACAUUCCUCUUCCUAAUAGUGAUACUCCUUUUGUUGUUCCUCCUGUUAUUUCUAAUGAUAUUCCUAUUGUUUCCACUAAUGAUAUUGAUGUUGUGUCCAUCGAGAACCCCCUUGUUCCUGUCCUUGAACCCCGUUAUCCUCCCAGGGUUCGAAAUCCUCCGAAUAGGUUGGGUUUUCUACUGACCAUCCUAUUGCUCAGUAUGUCUCUUAUCAGGGCUUGUCUGCUAGCUAUCAGGCAUAUGUUACUUCUACUUCAUCGAUCCGGAUUCCUAGAACUGUAGGUGAGGCUAUGGAGAAUCCUCAUUGGAUAGCAAUUAUGCAGGUUGAGAUGGUUGCACUUGAGCAGAAUCAGACUUGGGAGUUGGUUCCUUUACCUCCUAAGGAACGCACCGUUGGGUGCAAAUGGGUCUUUAAUGUGAAGUUCUUAGCCGAUGGUACAGUUGAACGAUAUAAGGCGCGCCUUGUUGCCAAAGGCUUUACACAAGUUCUUGGUCGGGACUUUGGCGCUACAUUUGCUCCCAUAGCCAAGUUGAACUCUGUUCGACUCAUUAUCUCCCUUGCAGCAUCAUAUGAUUGGCCCCUUCAUCAGUUAGAUGUGAAGAAUGCUUUCCUUAAUGGCGAUCUUGAUGAGGUUAUUUACAUGGAUCCUCCACCAGGUUUUCGUUCUGUCGGGAAGUAUGUUGGGAAGGUUUGUCGACUCCGUAAGUCCUUAUAUGGGCUUAAGCAGUCACCGCGUGCCUGGUUCUGUAAAUUUUCUGAGGUUAUUCUUCAACAUGGGUUCCUCAGGUGUCAUUCUGAUCAUACAGUCUUUGUCAGGAAUAACUCAGGGGGGUCGUAUAUAUCUUCUUGUGUAUGUGGAUGACAUUAUUCUCACUGGAGAUGACACUGCAGGCAUUGUACAGCUUAAGGAAUCCCUAGGGAAAUCCUUUGAGGUCAAGGACCUAGGUCCUCUACGCUACUUCUUGGGCAUUGAGGUUGCUCGUAGUCCUAAGGGUAUCUCCUUAUCUCAGCGAAAGUAUGUUCUAGAUCUCUUGAGUGACACGGGAAUGUUAGGUUGUCGUCCAACUUCUACUCCUCUGAUUCCUAACAGCAGGUUAGUUGCCAAUACCGGAGCGCCUCUACCAGAUCCAUCAGUCUACCAGUGUCUUGUUGGACGUUUGAUCUAUUUGUCUAAUACCAGGUCGGACAUAGCCUUUGCCGUGAGUAGAGUGAGUCAGUUUAUGCAUGCACCUUGUCAGUCUCACAUGGAUGCGGUUGAUCAUAUUCUCAUGUACCUGAAAUCGUGUCCUGGCUUAGGUUUGUUUUAUGUAUCUAGACCACAGGGUCCCUUGGAGUGUUACACUGACUCAGAUUAUUAUGGUCGCUCCAUUGACGGUCGUUCUACUACUGGCUUUUGUGCUUUUCGUGGACAUCAUCUUAUCACAUGGAAAAGCAAGAAGCAAUCAGUUGUCUCUCGGUCAUCGUCUGAGGCAGAGUAUCGUGCGUUAGCAUUGGGUACUUGUGAGAUUAUGUGGCUUCGCUCUAUUCUCAGAGAGUUGGGUUUUACACAGACUGGAUCCUCUGUUCUUCACUGCGAUAAUAAAUCUGCACUUUACUUAGUUUCGGAUUCUGUCCUUCAUGAGAAGACAAAGCACAUAGAGAUCGAUGUGCAUUUCUUGAGAGAGAAGGUUCGUUCUGGUAUCGUGUCUCCAUCCUUUGUUGGGACGAAGGCACAAAUUGCUGAUACUCUCACGAAAUCAGUGGGUCCUACUGAUCUUCAAAUUUUUAUUCGCAAGCUGGGUCUUCGCGAUAUCUUCGCACCAGCUUGAGGGGGAGUAUUGUAAUAGUAGUGACUUGUCUAACACACUUGUAAUAGUGGUGACUUGUCUAACACACUUGUAAUAGUAGUGACUUGUCUAACACACUUCUUUCUUUAUAUAUACAAGUUAAGUCUCACAUUGAGACUACAACUUUUCACCUAAUAUUCUACUUCUACUAAAAGUGUCUCUGGUUACACUCUAACUAAAUUCACCAAAGUACCACAUAUGAGAUGAUGAUUCACAGCCUCUUAGCAUGUGUGGGUGACCCUAGGUUUCCUUAGAUAGACAGAUUUCUUUAACUCAUAUAGCCCACAAAAACUAACUGCUUUUAUUCUUGUAUUGCAAGUCUUGCCAUGCAAAAAGUGCAGAAAAGAAGGUUUAUCGUCCCUCAAUUCAGCCAAUUCAAUAAUUCCCCAAGGAGAACACAAUAUAAAAUAUAAAUAAUGAGAAAAAUCAAAAUAUAUUUCAAGGUACUGAAAUGUAUCAGUGGUAUGUCAUUUUGGUCCAGUAUAGAAGCUUACCUUCCUCAGUAUUUUCAGAGGGCCUUUUAGCUGAAGUAGAAGAAGCAGUGCAUGGACAUCCUGGGCCUUCUUGCUCAUUGGAACAGCUAAUUGGCAAUUCUUUAUAGUCAUCUGCAAGUCCAGUGAAGUGUCACUUGUGUUUUCAGUAAUAGAAAAUAUAAUGACAUUUGGAAAGAGUUUUUACCUGUUGGCUUCUCACUUUCAGACAACUUGACUACAUUUACAGGAAUAUUGCAAUCGGUUCCUACACAAUCUGAAGGUUCCAUUAAGUGCGACAAAAAUGCUCUUGCAUCCAUAUUAUAUGCUCUAACACGAUCAUCUACUUUAUUAAUCUCCGCAUUGAUCUUCAAGUAGUGGACACUGUCUGGGUUUAAGUCGUUCGCAAAUACUAUGCAUCCUUUUUGUGCUGCUGGAAUGACAAAAGGGCCAAUACCAGCAAACAUGUCACAAAUGAUAUCUCCAGUCUUGAAGAGAGAAAUUAGUCGUGUGUGUUCGUGUUCCAAUCUUGAGUUCCAAUAGACCAACCCAUAGUUAAGCUUGAAUGUCGCUCCAUACUGCUUUACUUCUGUAACCAUAUCAUCUAUGCCUGCUAGAACUUCUAAUUUGGGCACUCUGAACUCAUUUGUAAUGUCUCCAACUUUGUUUACAACAGUUUUAAUUUUUGGAUAGUUUUUCUGCAAAAAUUUAGUAAACAUUUAAAAUAGCACCAAUACAAAAGCAUAAAACAUGGUUUUCAAAAGCAACAGGAUCAGAGAUUGACUUUUAACAGAUGUCCUAACAAUAAUAUGUAUGCUCUAAGUAUCCUGAAAAGCAGGGUCAGCUAAAAAAACACCGGUAACGACACACAAUGAUGGUAAAAUUUUGGAGAGAAAAAGAUCCAGAUAAGAAGGAUACGACUGGUUAACAAAAAUAUCAAACUUACAUCAUAGAAAACUUUUGCAAUAACAUCCUUGAAAGCAAGUAGAUCAUCACCAAUAUUCAAAUGAGCAAUAUGACCUGAUGAUGAAAUUAUAUUAUGUUAGUUUGUUUCCAAAAGCUGAGAAACUCAAAAUACUGUAUACGAACCUGAAUUAAAAUGCCAUAAGUGCAAUGAUUACUAGACUUGUUGGAAAUAUACAAGCGCACAACAGUGGCAAGAAAAGGAAAAAAAAAAGAGAGGAGGGAAACACAACAAAAGAUGGGGAAUAUGAGAGAGUACUUAACUAUUGUCUCAAAUGAAGAAGGUACAUCCACUCCAGGGGGUAGUAUUUGCUUUAAGAUUUGGUCUAGAAAAAGAACAAUAAGCUAGUGUUAAGAAACACAUCUGAAGAAAAGGUACAAAUAUGAAAAAUAAUCAUUCUAUAUAAAGCACAAGUUUGCAUUUGUAAUAAAAAAGUAUGCUGCAUUUUUUAAAGGAAUAACGAACAUCAACCUAAAUUCUGUCUAGGAAAUGCAAUUUGUAACAGUUCUACAUAUAUAAUGUAUUGGAGCAUGCCUUAACAGGUUUCGGUACUAACCUGCACUCCAGUAGGAGUACCCAAGUGUCAAUGAAUAGGGUACUACUUCAAAAUUGCACAACUUCUUUAAGGCAGAAAGUGCUUGGUCGGGAAUGUCUGACAAAUCUGUUUACAAUCGAGAUCUUUGUAUCAAUACAUUUGAUGUGAAUGGAAAAUAAUAAAAGACAAAAAGACAAAAACCGUAAUUGAGUCAUUUAUUCAAAGAACAUAAUGGAAAAAAAAAAAAAAAUUAUGGUUGUCUGAAGAUAUAAGGUGACCAAGGAAAGAACGGAAGGUUAAUAAUCGAGUGUACAUGUAUAAACUUCCAAAAAUAUAGUGGCUGUUCCAUGUUUUUGUAUGACUUACCAGGAUUUGUAAUGCUGUCAGAUAACAGGAUGUAACGAUUUUUCUCACAUGAAGGAUCUUCAAUAACAUGUUUGACACGAGGCUUAUUUAACAUAUAUCUGGAAAGAGAAAGCAUACAGUCAAUGAGUCAAUGAAGACAUGUUCGAACUGUAAUAACUAAUGUUGCACAUAAACAACAAAACGUUACACUAAAAUAUAAUAAAAGCGUGUGAUUUAUUAUAAACUGAUUAAAGUAGAACAAACUAAAAUCCAACAAUCCCAAAAUCAACCUCAGUUCCCAUUCAUUAACAUUGGGCAUUAUCACUAAUUGUCACCAACAAAAAAUAAAAAGCACUUAAUAAAAAACCGAGUUUCCACAAUCGCAAAUGCAGUCUCUUACUUACCCCUUAAGAAUGCCAGUGACAUUCUUAGAGAGCUCUCGAGGAAUGCUAAGUGCAAGAAGCUCCAACUUUUUCUCGAACUUACUUGUAUCCAGCAUCAUCAUUACUCGCUUCUUAGCAAUGGAAGACAAUUGAGAAACAACCAAAGACGCCAGUGAUGCCUACCACUGAAGAAAAUUUAUGUUACCAAUCAUAAAUGUUUAAUUACAAUUUCUUUUCUCUUUAUAACAAUAAACAAAACAAGUUGUAAACUGCCCACUUUUCCCUGAAUUGAGUAGAUUGAACUUUUGCAUCAAUUUACAUAAAACAAGCUAGAAUUAGAACUCAAAGAAAGGUUUUUUCAAUUCUUUUUUCGAAAUUUAACAAAACCCCAAUUGAUAUUAAGUAAUGAAUCUUGUAAAGUUUUAAUCUUUAUGAGAAGAAAUUAACUUACAAUGAGUUCCAGACUUCCAGUUCGCUUUGAGAGUUUAAGAGUUUAACGAAGAGGGAAGAAGAAAGAAAGAGAAACUGCUACUGUAUUUAUCAAUUCCUUCCUUCGUUUGGCUCGUUUAAGGUUUGAGUCUAAACAGGGUUUAGUGUGUGUUUAACUUUAAUACAUUGGUUAUGGUUAAACAUGGAAAACUCAAGGGUAAAGUUGUCUUUUCAAAAAAAAAUUAUAUACAGUACUACUGGAUAUAUUGGUGAUUCAAUCAAUCAUGCCUACUGCUACUGCUAUCGACUGCUUUGAUCCUAGUUCAACACCACAUAAUUUGCUUGAACACUUUCAAUUGGGUGUGCCUUGUAGUAUUGUCCAUGUUAUCUAUUCUUACCCUUAAUAUGCAGGUUAUAUACUUUGAUCCUAGAUAGCUUUUUAUUUGAUGGUUGUCGCCUACUAACUUGCAGACGUUAUCUACUCUUCCUCUUAAUAUGCAAGUUAUACAUGCCAGGCACCAAGCAAAGAAAAAAAAUCUUAUUAUGUAUAUGAGAGAAAAAUGUUGUCACUAAAUAUAUUUUGAUCCUACUAACUUGCAAAGUCAAGAAAAUUUUAUGAUCAUGAACGGGGAAGCAUCGAUGGGAUCCCAACAAUAUUUUUGCAGACAACUACUCCAAUUGCAGGCAGCUCAACAUAGUAUUAUGAUGAUGAACUAUUCCUCCUAAAGAAAAACAAAUUGACUUCAUUAUAAAGCAGAUCCUCUUAUUAUUAUUAUUUUUUUCUUGAACCCAUGGCACAAUCAAGUAAAAAGGACCAAAAAAAUUUCAGGAUCUGUCACUUCAGAAUUUAUGAAAGUAUGUUCAAUUUAAAGAAAUGGCAGUUUCAACAUGGAUAAAAAAAAAUUAAAUUAACAAAUUAUUGCUCAAACACCUCUUAACAUAGGGGUAAUACAAUUUUCUUUGUUAGAAACAAUCUUCCCUUUUUUGUCAAAUUUUUGGGUAAUACAUUCUAAAAAUAUAAUUAUAUAGACUUUUUGAGUUGUAAUAUAGACCGUCUUCCAAAUUAUUGAAAUAUAGGUGUGGGUGAUGAGAAAAUCGAUUUUGGAUUGUGUAGAAUGUUUUCGGAACCCAUAUAUCUUUCACAACAAUGUGUUAAGAUUGGGUCUAGCAUAUAGAAAAGGCAGUAUGCAGCAACAUAACAUGAGCAAUGGCCGACAACAAUAUUCACUAUAAACCAUGAUUGUUUGCAAACAUUAUGAUUUUUGUGACUUAAUUUGUAGUUGAGAUAGUUGUUAAACUAUCCUGCUAAUACAUAGGAUGAAAUCAUAAAUUGUACAUGAGACGUUAUUCGCAUUGGAUGCAAAACAGGUUCAUUUGUCCUAGUCUGGGAGUGCCUGGGCAUGGCUGAAUAUGGAGCACAGCUGCUGCAUUAUAAAGGAAAACCUGCUAAGGAGAGCUGGUAUGCAGGUGGGCGAUAGGGAUGAAAGUAUAGUCGGCAAUUGGUGAAUAAAGCCGAGGUAAAAGGGCAGAAAACCAGUAGCAACAGAGUAAUGUGAGUAAAGCAAGACUCGACAGCACUUGUACCAGUGUCUUGGGGAGUUGUAGGUGUGCCUAACAGGGUAUGAAUAGUUUGUUUUGAAUAGUUAAAAAAAAAAAACAACACACAUAAAUCCACAAAAAUUUUGUAAAUUGUUUAGGUUACUGGUUGGAAGGGAAUGAAAAGCUUCUUAUAUAAGAAUUUGUACGGCUGGCAAAAAAAUUCAACAACAAUUCAACAGACUGUAAGACACAUGUAAUCCACCUACCUGACAAAAUUUUGAAUCCAGAGUUCUACCUUCGGUAGCCACUCUUAAACUGAUCACAAAUUUCAUCUAAUGGUCUCCUCAGUUUGCAUCUUGUAUUCCUAGCAACCCCAUAUAGAAAGUAGUAUAUUACCAAUAUCCCUAUGCCUAUUGUUUUCAAUUUUAGUUUCAACUGCUUCAUUCAUACCAUUUUUUUAACUUUGUUUUCCAUAAAAUAUUUUUGUAACAUGCAUAGUGGGACUAAAAUAUAAACCAACAGUAUAUUCGGAGAAGAUCAAACAUUUUGACGAAUCAAAAAUAAAACUUGAUCGUCAAUAAGAGUGAUAAUAAUACCUUUUGUAUGAAGUAAAAGAGAACUUCAAUCGAUAUAGGAUUUAAUGGAGUUCUAACCAAAACCAGAGAUUUGCUAGAAAAAACUCCUGCAACAUUUAUAAAUAAGCAUCAAUAUUGGAUAGAAUAACUUCCCAUAUAUCAAAUAUUCACAUGAAGAUAUUAGAUAGCAUAUAGGAUGAUAAUUUUAACAAUUGAUUUCCUUAUUUAAGUUUUAACCAGUAAAAAGUGUUUGUGACAGGUUGAAAUAAAGCAUAUCAAAUUUUAGGAGCACUUUAUUUUGAUCGAUCGAUUCCCUGAGCACUUUAUUUUUUCAUGUGAUUAUUGUCAAGUUUCAAUCAGUAUUUUCUUAGUCGUCCCACCUAACAAAGGAUCUCUACCUCUCUGUCUCUAUUACAAAGGUCGUGUACGUCUCAAAUCCCACACUUAUCCUAAAAGGUUCUGGUUCCUUCACCCAGUUCUCCAUUUUUUUAGUUUAUUUUGGACACUUAAUACCUAUGACUAUAAGCAAUCACGCUUUUUCAAUAUUCAUAGUGUUGUCUUUCAGUCAUUGCGUUCGAAACUGGUCCAUGACAGACAGUUAAGUUUGCGGCAGAGUAUGAAGUAUAUUUCCUCAAGAGAAUCAUGGAGACAUGAAAGUAGACACCAUGUAUUAUAUGUUGUUUAGGAACAUUAAUGGUAUGUACAAAUUUGAGGAAUAUAAUAGUAAAGUAUGGAUUUUUCCAACAUUCUUAAUAUUUUUGAGAGAGUUUUGAUAUUGUGGGAAUUAUCAUCAAUUACCCAGAUAUGUAACGUUUUGCUAAGUUUACUAAUGAUUAUUUUCACACGAUAAAAAUAAACAGCUCAUUUAUGUAAUUGAAAUUUAAGAGACAAAUGAGUCUAAUACCUUAAUGCUUGCAAUGGAGAUGCGAUUGGUUAUGUGAUAGAAGAUGAUGAAGAAAACUGAUGAGAGAGCACCUGUAAGAGAGAAAGAGAAGCAAUAAAUUAUCAAAAGUAUCUGAUCAUCUAACAAGAAGGAUAAAACAUUUAACUGUGUUUGGUCUUUAAUACUUUGCUUCAAGAAGAUGGGAUUGCUAUUGUUGUAGACUUACAAUGUUAGUAGAAAGGGGGAAGGCAUUAUUAUUGUAGACUUACUAAUAUGUGUUAUUCUUUUUAAAAUAUUUUUGAACAAUUUGCAAAAAAAAAUUCAUGGUAGAACUCAUGUAAUUCUCAAAGUUUGAAACUAUUAAGACUACUUUUAAGAAAUUGAUUAAGGGCGAAUUCAGUUCUUCUUCAGAAAAUGGGUAAUUCAUCUCCACGAAUAGAAAUUGAGAUAUGACAACCCAUGUUUCUAAUGUAAACUUGAAGAUGAUAACCACAUACCUUGAAGGUGAAAAUCGAAGAGGAUGAUGAAGACGAUUAGUUUGUGUUUCGCCAAAUUAAAGUUUACAGGAAACAAAAGAUUAGAGCCAACAGAUUUGAUUGUAGAAUGAGAAGAAGAGAAAAAAAAUUAAGGUUUAAUGAAAGAUUAGAGCUCCUUUUGUAUGUGGUUUAACCAAGGUACCUUUGGUUUAACCAUCUCUUAGUUGUUAAAACGAAUCACAGCUGCACCUAAAUGAUGUAUGAGGAAGCGAGUCAGGCUGCUAAUGAUGCAGUUGGGAGUAUAAGAACAGUUGCUUCUUUCUCUGCUGAAGAAAAAGUGAUGGAGUUGUACAAAAAGAAAUGUGAAGAGCCAAAGAAAACAGGGAUAACGCAUUGACAGGUCAGUAGAAUUGGUUAUGGUGUCUACUUUUUCCUGUUGUUUUGUGUUAACGCGAUGUGUUUCUACACUGGAGGAUGAGGAUGUGUUUCUACGCGACUACCAUUAAUAAUUUGAAAAUUAUACUCUUAAAAAUAUAAUUUUUAAGACUAAACAUCUAUAUAUAGCAGAGAUGGUGCACACUAAACCCAUUGAUAGAAUCAAGAUAUAGACAUGGGAUACAAAAACCUAGUUUUGGAGCUGACUCCAACCUGGCAAUAGAAAGCAUACAAUACAGGCAGGAAGCUUCAUGGAGAGCAAGACCUCAUGUGAACUUCAUGAAGUUCCUGAUGAUCGAGCUCAUUCGACAACAUAUCUUUCAAGCAAUAUUCAGGGAAACAAACAGGUGCAAACUUUAUGGCAGAGAAAUGUAAUAGGAGUGAUGCACUUAACAUGAUCAUUAGUCGAUUGCAAUUUUCAAAUACCACGAAUUGAUAGAAUCAAAUACCAUAACAUCUAACAUUAUGAUUAAGGAUACAUGGUUCAUCUUUUUAAAUCAAAUUCAAGAAUUUUAGUGCUCUAAAUUGGUUUGGGGAUUUCAAAAGAUGCACACUAAACCCAUCAAUAGAAUCACAUACCAAUGGAUACUAAACCCAUUGGAUGUCCAGAGAAUAGAGUAAAACCAAUGAAAACAAAUAGAAAUGGACAAUGAAUCUAGUUCAGCAAGUCAAUUUAUUCUUGAACCCCUAUUUAUUUGAUUAAUGGGAAUUAAGUGCAAACACUUUAAACAACUAAUAGAGUUCACCUUAAUCUGAUUCCAAAGCUUGCUAUUGUUGCUGAUUGAAGAUGAAAAAGCUUAUUACUGCUGCUGAUUGAAGGUGAAAAAGCUUGCUACUGUUGCUGAAGGUGUCAAUACAAUCAAAUCACCCACAAAAUAUCGAUUUUUUUUUUUUUUGAGAAGAAAGAGAACUUAAUCAAAGUAGAUCGAUUUUUUUUGGAGAAGAGAGAACUUAAUCAAGUAGAAAAGAUAUAGAGAGAGGGAGAGAGAGUGUGUGCUGAAGAGUGAAUAGAUGAAAUUAGAGAGAAGGAGAAGCAGAGAUAUUGGUUUAAUGAUGAAGAAGAACAUGUGAAAAGGAGAAGGAGAAGUAUAUUGUUUCAACAAAGCAACGAUAGAGCUAGGUUUCCUGAUGUGAUCUCAACCAUCCAACAUAACUUAAGUUUGGACCAAUCUAAUCCAACGGCUAAUAAACAAGUUUGUCUCCAAUCCAAUCACAGCCGCAUAUCUAAUUUACAACUUCGAAUUCGAGAGAAUCCGAACAUAACUUAAGUUUGGACCAAUCUAAUCCAACGGCUAAUAAACCAGUUUGUCUCCAAUCCAAUCACAGCCGCAUAUCUAAUUUACAACUUCGAAUUCGAGAGAAUCCGAACCACUGCUUAUAACCAAACUUGUCUAUUUUAUGUAUCCUUUGUAGAUUAUAAUUUAGACAAGAAAAUACCCGUGCCUUACGGCACGCUAAUUUAAUUACAUUUUAACGAUGUCUUUACCAUAUAUAUAAAUGUUGUCCCUAGUAAGAAAGUAACAUAGUUCAUGACCCCAACAUACAUACCUUUUGAUUUAGCGGCUUAUAUCUCAUACAAAAAUAUUCAAAACACAAUAAAAUGUCAGGUUUCUUCAUCACAUAUCAAGGGUGAAUUCCCCAUACCAUAAAAUAAUAUCAACUGCAAUGUCAGGAUUCUUAAUCACAUACAUACUAAAUCCAGAUCUCACCAAUUAUGUACCUGCAGUACAAUAAAAAUUGUUGAUUAUGUGAUAGGCAUGCCUUUUGGAGGUUAAUACUUAAUCCAUAACAUCUUUUACACCAUAUCGAUCACUUAUGCCUUAGUAGGUCUAACCUUGAGUUCGGACUAGCUGGAAACCCAACACUAAUGCAAAAACAAACUAUAGAAACUUACAAAAAGUAUCAUCUCCUAUUUUUCAUCAUAUUUCAAUGAAAAAAAAAAUUAAACAUGAAGAAAAAAAAUCAGAUAAUUAUAAGAGCUAACUUGAUCAUUUGGACCAAGGUGGAUUUAUAGUCACAACUGCUAGUGCUACUGACAAUACAUGAGCAACUAUAUUGUUGUAGCAAUUGAAAGGCGUUAGUUUACCUUAUUCACUUUAAGUCGGUUAAUUCUAAAUGAUUAAUGUGACAAUGUUGGCAAAUAAUGAUUUAGAAUGUGCUACUCUAACUGGCAUCAUUCGAUCGAUUUCCUUAUAAAGUCUAGUUUGAUGCAUACUAACAUAUAUUAACAAAAGCAUGAAAGCUUUUAUACGAAGUAUCAAACAGAUGAGGAUAAAACGAAGUACAUUCAACUACGAUAUGAUAUAUUAGCAUCGUUAUAUUUAGUAUUUAACAAUCAGACAAAUUUGAGGGCCUGGUUACCAGCAUAGCACCUGCAAGAUGACAAUCCAGAUUUGUAAUACAGCCUUACAUAAUUUGCAAAUCUUUCCUCAAUGAACCAAGAGGCUAGAGGAGUUGAAAUGUCAUUUCCAGGUCCAUUCUCUUAGUCUUCUUUAGCUACCGAAAGUUCAAUUCCUGAAAAGAGAACAUAGGAUAACAAAACAAUGUACAACUAAAUGGUUCUCAGUUAGCUCAAUUCAAACUACAACUGAUUCAUUUCAGUUGAAGGAUGACAUGUUGUUCUUUAAAAGAAUUUGAUGUGUUGUUUAAUUUUUAUUAGAUUGUUAGUCAUGGUGUUAUUCAUAUAGGAUUAUUAAGUCUAUAGUUUACCAAACUGAUAACUGAAAGUUUGCCAACCAUUCCCAAAUGUAGGACUUAAUUAAAGAGGCGGUAUAAGGAGGCAGUAGUGGGAUUUGAUACCUUAUAAUCUCGUCUUGACAAUUGUUUGUCCCCAUCUUUAUAUAUACUUAAGGAACAUUCUCAUGCAAAAUAAAAUAGAUGUCUUUUGGAAUAGGGUGAUCUUAUGGUGUGUGUGGUACUGAUUAUUUAUUUGUGGGCAUGAGCCAUUCCAUUAAAAAAAUAACUCAUCCUAUAAUAGUUUAGCAAAGCCUCAAUGCAUGUCUGCCAAAAUCCAAGAAAUAUGAUUUAUACUGUUUGUUCGCAAUCAUCCCAGUUACUGUUGCUGAUAGAAACUCAAUUGAAUACACAAAGUAAUAACUAAAAUAUUGAUGUGUCACUAUAUAGAGGAGACAGGAUACAAAUAUUAUUGUCAAGAAGUAUUUCAUUUAAUCUAUACUUCAUUUAAUCUCAAGAUAUUCGCACCUCAGCUGGAAAAUGAUAAUUUUCCUUGAUAUAGGCUACUAUAUAACAGCUAAAUUAGCGUUGUACAGUAGCCUAUAUAUAGCAGCCUACCUAGCAGAUUAUAUAAAAUAUUUUACUAAUUAGCAGCCCGCCGAGCAGUAGCCAAUGUACAUCAAUUCAUCCAAGGUAUAUAGCAGCCUGUAUGUCUUUGCUUUAUUUUUCUUUUAAGAAUUAGUAGAGGCUGGUAUGUUCAUGUUGUUAUGAAUAUAAUGCUUGUGAUUGGAGGUGUAUGUUGUUUUGUGUAGUCUAGAGCUAAACAGGCUACAUGAGAGUAGAUUGCGAAGAUUUUGCGGCAGAUUGCAGACUGACUGAAGUAUAGAUCGGCAAGAUGAGGCUGCAAAAAUGUGCAGGUGAGAGUGAUGACUGGCAAGACUCAAUGAUGCAGACUGAUUGGUAGCAAUUAAUGGGGGAAUAGAUUGCAAUUUCUAAGAGAUGUAAUAUACUGGUUGGUAGCAAUUACAUGCCCACGUAGCAGCAGCAUAUAAAGCAGCCAGUGUAGAUGAACAAACUUGUACUACAAAUGUCUAAUGAAUGUGAAUAUUCAGUGGCAGCCAAUGUAAAUUUGUUUGUUUAUUAAUCAUCAGACUUAUAAUAUACAUAUAUACAAAUCAAUUAGGCUAAGAACGUAUUACAUCUAUUUGUUUCACUGUAUGCUCUUAUAAACAUAGAAACAAAAGUGUACAUAUAUACACCUGAGAUAAAACAUAAGCAAAUUGAAAAAGGGUGCCUACAGUGUGGUUAAAGGCGCUUCUCGGAAUCCUUUGCUCUCGUUCGUAGUCUCUCUUGCUCCUUGGAAUCUUGAAAGUUGAAGAAGGGGUCAUCAUACAGCUCUUGACUGGAUUUUCUCCUCACUACCAUGAAUUAAAACAAAAAACUUGAAUAAGUGAAACAAAUUUAUAUGUCAUAGGCUCAUGCAUUUUUGAACCAAAUAUCUAAUUAAUCCAUCCUUCCACAAAGAGAAUACAAAGAACUGAAAAUACAAUUGAAGACUGAAAAUACAAAGAGAUUUCGGCUUAGCCAAUGCUUAUUGAUAGAAUAGAUGGAGAACUUGGAAUGCAAGGUGGGAAAACUCCUUCCUUCAUAUAUGCAGAAAUUUUGCUUAAGUAUCCCGUUAAGGUUUAUAGGUUUUGAAGAUUUGUAAUUAAAGAGUUGCAGUUGCAGUGGUCGUUGGUUUGAGAGAGCGUUAAGCAAAUCCAUUAGCGAGUCGGAGAAAAAGCAUACUUUUCUAGUCUAUUGUAUAAGCAUUUAAGGUGGUCGUUGAGAUAAAUUAGAAAGAGCAUAUUUUUCUGAUUCUAUUUUGCGGUGGUCGUUGGGUUGAGAGAGCAUUAAGCAAAUCCAUUAUUUAUUUUGUUGUUGAUUAAUAUAUUUGGUUAAAAAAAAGUUGGUAUUAUAGGCAAGUAAGCAGUUAAGCUAUCAGUGUCACAUUUGAGUGAAGUAAUAUCGUCUGAUUCAGUAUCUAAUGGCAUAUGAGGGAAGUAUAUAGAUGUACCUGAACAACUAUUAUGCUAUAUCUUUGACCAUUUUCGAUCAAAUGAAAGAGAUUGAUGACAGGAUAAUACCUCUCCUCACCCCAUUCCCUUGAAAAAAAAAACACCAAAUCCGAUAUAUUAGACACCGAAGAUUAAAAACUUAUUUUUGAGUUCACAUCCACUAUAGCUCCUUUUCAACUUAUUUGUAAAAAACUUAUAAUGGAAAGUUCCAACAAUUACACGCUUUUUAAGAUGUUUAUUAUUACUAACCACACUAAACAGAAAGUAAUCAAGUAGAUAGGAUGUGGAAUUUGUACCUCAAAUUAAUUGAGAACCUCAAUGCUUUCAACUCUCUUGGAUGAGCUUGCAUAUUUGGCAUCUUUUGUAAGGUUUUAUUUGCUUAGGUGGUCUACAGUCUACACUAAUGGUUUAGGUCUCAUCCAAUGCAUUUGAAAACUACUGUUCAAUUGCGUCAUUUCUCAGAUCAAGAGCAAUCAUAAUUGGCUAGAAAUGACCCACAAAACAAAUCUUGAAUAAAAUCAAUUAAACAAUCCACAAUAAAAGGUAAUCAAAGUCUUUCAAACCUUAAUCAUCUUAACCUACUUCAGAGCGGAGGAAUAGUGGAAAACUCAUACUAAUUAAAAGCCAAAAACAUUCUUUCACAAAUUGACAAAUCCUUGGCGUAAUUUUUUUUUGCCUACUAGUUAGUCAUUGGUUUAGGAGCGGAAGGUACCUGACAAAAGGAGCAUUAGCAACAUCAGCGCUAAGAGAGAGGGAGUCUCAGUUUUGCAAGAUCCCAGGUUGUAUUGACAAUUAUCCUGAUUCCUGAGUCAUUAAAAUUAGUAACAUGCUCCAUACAUACAUCAGAGGAGUACAUUAUAAAUCUGUUAGAACCUAUUAUAAGAAAAUACAUAUGCUGGAGGAAGGGCUUGAACCUUCGUCCUCGUGGUUUAAAAGCCAACCAACUGAGCUACACCAACUGUCCUUGUGUUCCUAUUUAGAUCCGCUCUCCAUUAUGAAAAGCAAUAUCUGCCCAUGUGAAACAAAAGAGUUCGAUAUAAGUAUAGGAAAGAAAAUUAUGGAAAAAUAAAUUGCAGGAUGAUUAAAUCAGAAUUUAGAAAUCACAGUGGUAGAAAAUUAAAAAUUCAAGAAACCAAGACUUACAUACAGUGCCCAAAGGUAGGCUUAAAUUUAAACCACUCGAUCAUAUUGUCACACCAGCAAGUAUAGCACCUGCUAGCUUACAUAAACUCGGAUCAAAAUCCUGUAUUUAACCUUAUUUUUCAAGUCAUCAAGGGUUGCGACCUCAUUCAAGCAAAAGUAUCCUUGGAACUGUGUCAAUAUAGUGGUUAAUAUCAAGGUGCUAGGUGCAGAUCAACUACCAAUAAGGUACUGUCAAAGAAAUCAAAAGAAUUGUGUGGCAUUGUUUUUGAUUUCUGAAAUUUCACAUGAUCAGAAAAUAUAUCGGUUUUAGAGCUUCAUACUAAAUUGUAACAAAAUGACAAAAUUUUCUUAUGAACACAAUUAGUGAACAUGUGUGAUCCACUGUGGCAGUCCACCAAAUUAACUCAAUACUAUACAUGAAUAGGUUUAUGUAGAGGCACACAUAAGCGAAAUAAAGAGAAAAAUAAAUAGAAAAAAAAAAAAGCACACCAUUGUAGAAAAGGCCAUCUUAUCCACUGAGAAUCACCAAUCGUUUAAUUAGUAGCAAAGUCAAUUUUGAGCAGAAUGGUGAUACAUUUAGACCACAAUGCAAUGAAAUUCUACCACAACAUUUUGCAGACCAUAUCCUGCCUCAAGUGCAAUCUUAUGUGAUUUUUGCUAAAUUGCAUUUAAAUUAGUAUGACGAUUUUAUGUGAGUUAAGCCCUGCCAAGCGAACUUGCACCAAUGUUUCUAUUGUAAUAUCAAAUUAAAAAAGCAUAUCAAGCGACAUACCAGCUUGUACAACAAUGUACAUAGGAUCCUACAUAUCAGCGUUCACAGCAGCCUGUUUGCAUUGCCACUGUACAUAGAAGCCUAGCUCAGUUUUUGAGAUACCAUAAAUAGUAUAUUCAACUUAAAAAUAGCUAGCUACCCGAUUGUUGAAGCUCCUAUAACCUGCUAUAACCUGUAUGUUCAAUAGUGCAUUCUCAAACUGCUUAGUCCUUUAAAAUAAAAAGGAUUCAAAAAGCAAAGGAAGGAAUUUGGGAUUUAAGUUAUACACAAAAUACCUAUAUUGAUUACAUUUUCUCCUUCUACAGGAUAAAAAAUAGAAUUUAAUAGUUAAACUGGGAAAUAAAAUUUUAAAAGACUAUUAAGAUAAAGGGCCUGAAACCUGUCUGCGAAGCAUGUCUAUUUAUCUCCCUGUUGAAUGGGAAUAAUGUGAAGGGUUGCUCAAUGCACGGGUUCUAGCAUGAUUCAAUUCCAAGUCUAGCGAGGACCGGCUUCUUACUUUCCUCUGGGAUGCUUCCUCCAUAAUUGACAGACUGCUCCCUCUAUUACUGGGUGUCACGCUCACAACUUCCCAAGGCCAACGCUGUGAACUUCAACUCGGCUUAUGUAGGGAUGGAAUUGACAUGUCGGAUGAACUUCCAACUCUAUAGUAUCCAGUGCUCUCAUGAAUCACAGAAGUUGCUGGUCUUUUUUUGCUAUACGGUCCCUUCUAUUGACUGUUGCAGAAGUGGUACUGCCAACUUCAUAUAUAUCCAUGAUUUAAAUGUAUGCCUGUAGUGGUUUACAGGGGAUGCACUGUAAUAACUUGAAGAAGAUGGACGUUCAACAUAGUUUUGGGUGACAGGACGGAAGCUUCUAGCAGCUGAUGGAUGUCGGAAGGGUUGAUAAGAUGGGCCUGGAACUGGGGCUGAAUGAAAAUUUGGUUCGGGGAUGAUACUUGACUAAACAUACUCAUUUGAUCUGAGUGUCGAGUUCCAGUUAGAGGAGACAUUUUCUCCCCCAGGAAGCAUGUUUUCCAUACAAAAAAAAAAGACCCACCGUCUGCAGUCCCAAAACUACCUUGGUUCAUGGAAGAGUGAAUAUGACUCCUGUUCUGAUCAUGGUCUGUCUCGAAUUCUAGGGAGGUGCGCAAUAAUUGUCUAUGCUCCAUAACAAAAUGUUGUUGUGAACAAUAUGCUUCACUUACCAAAUGGACAGAAGAAACACAUACACCAACUUAUGGGGAUGAGUUGCCACUCAAUGUUUGAAUCCAGACCUAUAUGCUUUAUAUGAUAGCUGGAUGAUUUCAUUCAACCAUUAAAAUAAAUGGAAUUGGAAUGAGAUUGUAUAAUAGACACUGAAACACCACACAUAUAGUGAAAAUCAGAAUAGAAAUGAACGCCAAAUAUUGCAUUUAGUGGCAAAGCAUCUCUAGAAAUAAAGCUAUUGAAUAAUGAAAAUAAUACUUUCUAAGCCUAUGUACAUAUAAAUCGAAUUGUUAAUCUCUAAUCCAUAUUAAUUUGGACCGAGUGAAGAGAAGUGAUUUAACAGGAAUAAGAUGGAUGAAUAAGUGUUAAUUAGUUUAUAUAUGUAUGUUCAUCAAAGACACAAACCUCAUACUUUUGUUAGGUUGGCAUGGAUUUUAUGGCUAUUAAUUGAAAAAUAUAUUCAUUGCAGUUUUAAGAAUUUUGGAAUUCUAAUUUCCUACAGAAAGCUUAACCUGAGAAUGUGAUUGGGAGCUUUUGUGUACUUCUCAGUUUUUGUACAGGCCUUUAUUUUAAAAUGCAUGCAGAGCAAUUUUUAGAUCUUCAACACAUGCCUACAUUUAGUCAUAUACACUGCUAACUAAAAGCAAAAGGUUCUACCAAGAAAAGCAUGUCAUACUGCACCAGGAAGUCAGAACUGCACUGAUUUGGUUAUUAAGCUUGCCAAAACUGGCAGGCAGCCUAGCAAAGCCCAGCUAGCAUCCUGUCUCACUUCCCAGCAGUAUGUUUUUUCUCCUCUUAUUUGGCUAUUGACAUGACUGCUAUGUAUUUUGGUAUAACUAGUUUUAAUGCUGCUAUGGUCGUGAAUUAUUUUUGAUGUUGUUAUUAAUUCUUGCUGUUGUUAAAAAAAUUUAAGUUCUAAUGUUAACAAAGUGUUUUUUUUUUUUUUUUGAUUGGCAAGCAGGGUUGAGGGGACCCUUACCUUUUUAUAUUAUGUGUGGAAACUUAUAUCACCAAUCAGCUGUUGACGUGUUUCGAACCCACAACCUCUCCACUUUGUUAGAGGGGUGCUACCAUUGAACCACAGGCUCAUUCGCAUGUUAACAAAGUGUUGAGUACCAAAGAAAUAGUGAUCAUGUUCUAGAAAAUUUGCAAGGAGUGCAACAUUAGGGCAGUAAUUGAUAUUUGUGUGAAAGAAUCGUUAAGUUGGAAUUGCAAAAAAAUCAAUUAACUACACAAAGUAAAAGAUGGGUAGAAUCUGUUUCUUUUAUAAAAAUCAAACUAAUUAGUUCUUAGAAGAGGGAGAAUAAAUAAAUCCUAAUAGAACUCAAAAACUAAACAAAUUAAUUUAUAAGUAAACCAACCUGAUUGAUUUUAGAUCAAAGAGGGAUGAGAACAAUUAUCAUUUCUUCUGCAAACGAAUUGGACAUUGAGAGGUAAUGAGGUUAGACGAAACAGGCGAAACAUUUUUGUAUACGGGAGAUAGUUCGAGUGGAGUUGCAAAGGUUGUUAAAUUGAGAUAGAGUCCAGUUCAAAUGAAAUACUUUGUGACAGAGUCCAAGUUAUACUUUGUGAUAGAGUCCAAGAUUAAAUCCAAGCCGUCAGUUGUCCACACAAACUUAUACCCGUCCUCCCUUAUAAUAUAGAU
rnacentral:lncRNA from 1 species